GCUCCCUCUCCGGAAUCGAACCCUAAUUCUCCGUCACCCGUCACCACCAUGGUAGGCCCCUAUCCUACCAUCGAAAGUUGAUAGGGCAGAAAUUUGAAUGAUGCGUCGCCGGCACGAGGGCCGUGCGAUCCGUCGAGUUAUCAUGAAUCAUCGGAUUAGCGAGCAAAGCCCGCGUCAACCUUUUAUCUAAUAAAUGCGCCCCUCCCAGAAGUCGUUGCACGUAUUAGCUCUAGAAUUACUACGGUUAUCCGAGUAGCACGUACCAUCAAACAAACUAUAACUGAUUUAAUGAGCCAUUCGCGGUUUCACGGUUCAAAUUAGUUCAUACUUGCACAUGCAUGGCUUAAUCUUUGAGACAAGCAUAUGACUAGUGGCAGGAUCAACCAGGUAGCACGUCCUAGUCGACAAGCCGUCACCGAGAGUCGCACGUGCCAGCCACUUGCAUGCCAUGGCAACGGCAAAAAACAGAGCGGCCGUCGUCCUUUGAGUGAGCUUCAGAAAGGGACGCGACGCCAAAGGGCCACGAGCCUCUACAAUGAGUGACAUCCAAGACCAAGAGCCUCUACAAUGAGCGACAUCCAAGACCCCGAAUCUGACAGAUAUGGCGCACUGUCGGCCAGCGCGGCUUUUCAACGUGGCCAUGGCCCAUGGCCACCUCCAUUCGCACCUGGACUCCCAGCAGCAGUUCCAAGCCACCGGCCACGAUGUCUGGUCCCACGCUCGCCGAUUUCGUCUCGCUCGAGAAGGACGGUGCCGCCCGCUCCGUCGCAGACGCGACCACCUCCAAAUCCCUCGUGGCGCUCGACGCUCGCGACCCGCCGUCCCCUUGCGCCUCGCCGAGCCCUCCGAAACGCUCUCCCCCACCAUCCCAGAGGCCGAAUCCGUCGCGAAUCAGGGAGCUCUUCGUCGGAUCAGAGAGCACCUUGUACGCGUGAUUGACGAGGCGGAGCGCCAAAUCAGUGCUGGGCUAGGCUCGCGCGGGUCAGAGCGGACACGGCGGCGGCGUGCGCGGGUCUCAGAGCGAAGGCGACGGCGGCACGGCAGGUCAGAACGGAGGCGGCGGCGGCGCGACGGGUCAGAGCGGAGGCGGGAGCGGCGCGCGUGGGUCAUAGCGGCGGCGGCGGCCCGUGCGGGCGACGGCAGAGCAGUGCAGGAGUUGGGAAGACGAGAGGCGCGAGGGAGCUCCGGUAUCCAAGGCGUCAAGGCGAUGGCGGCGUUCGGUCUGCGGCGAAGGGACGGAGCUCGUGCGGUCGGCGCGAGGAAAGGGAGGUCUCGGAAGAGGCUGUCGUCGGCAGCAAGCGCUUAGUGACGGACGACGUCGUGGCGGGGAAACUCCGAGGCGAUGCUGCUUCGGGUGAGGGCACCGACGGCGGCGCGAAGGCGGGGCGCUGCUCCUGGAGGCGACUCGGGGAGUGGGGAGGAAGUCUGAACCUCGAAGGUGAUGGGGAGGGAAGUGGGCAGCGAUUUCUCCACCACCACAAAGCGCAUCUCCUAAUUCCGUCGAACCAAAUCGGCAGCAUAGCUUCCCACCAUCCAAGUCCGGCCGCGGCAUAGGGAGGGUGAGAUCCGGGCAGGCCGUCCCGGCGUGCACGGCUUGAUGCUCUCAGUCGUGGCAUCGCCUGUUCCCCCUAACAGCACGGCAGGGCGGAGCAGUGCAGCAGCAGGAGGGGGCUGGAGCGGCGGGAGGCGAGGGCGGCCGUGCGCGCGGGCCUGCAGAGCGGGGGCCGCAUGAUUGGGCGUGCGGAGGCGAAGGCGGCUCGAGCGGAGGAGACGACUCGGUCCGAGUCAAAUAGCCCACCAGACAUGUGGUCCCGCCUCGUCAGAUUCGGGGUUAGACGUUAAGAGCGAGCAGCUAAUUAAAUCAGGUGAUUUUAGUAACAAAAGGUAUACUGGUAUACCUACGUGAAACUCUAGCCUUAAAUCAGGUGAUUUUAGUAGCAAUGUGAUGGUUUUUCGGUUUUCUAAAUUUAUUUACUCAAGAAAAGAAAACAAAGUUUUUUAAAUUUAUUUACUCAAGAAAAGAAAACAAAGUACUACAACGACUUCGUUGAUGCUAAAUUAAUUGUGAUUGUACUAUUCUUGUCUACAUCCACGAAGGAUAUGCCACACUAAGAUUGUUUCUUGGAGUAUUCUUUUCUUAAAGCCCUGUGGAAAAAUUGGAGCACGGCUCCUUUGCCUUUCACGCAGAAAGACGACAUUUGUUGAUAAGUUUGAGGUUUUUGACAUCUUCCGUCUAAAAACGACUUGUUUACAAAUAUUACUCUCUUCUAGGAGGUAAAGCUCCUAUCACUUGCUCGAAAGAAAACUAUAACAACGAAUAUCUGAUUUAAUUUUUUUUUCACCAAUCAACCCGUCUGCAAGAACAAAUUGACACACCGUGCCUUGUUCCAUAUUCAUGUGUCCGAUGAAGAGGGCGAUGCAUAGAGGUGUGUUCUUAAAGGGUUUCCUCCGUCGAAGUUUUAUCCUGCAACCGUCGUUUGCCAUCACCAAUUUUGCGUGAGGUUCAUGAGGAAAAGUGGGAGUGGAAGCGGAAACAAAGACCUUCGUACAAACAAGGGUCGCAGGAGAAAUGUCCCUUCAUGCAAAUACUUCCUCCAUGAACAAAAGGGAGAAAUUUUUAAAUGAGGUUUUUUCUUUUCGAGGAAGUUAAAAGAGGUACAUUGUGUAGGUUGUUCUUUAAAUUUAUAUGUUCGCACAUAUACUCAGUGGCCAAAUCGCAACCAGUGAGAUGCUGAAGUCUGCAACUUGAGCGAGUACCGGAAUUAGUGAAACCAAACCAAACAAGCACCUGCACCGGACCGCUCUUAUUGCAUCGCAUGAGACAGACAACAACCGCUGCUGCUGCUGCUGGCUGAUGCACCAACAUCAGCAGCAUAUCUGGCUCAAAAAAAUAUCUCCAAACUGCCAAAACCAGGCCAGAUGCCGCUGGCUGAUGCACCAACAUCAGCGGCAUAUCCAGCUCGAACAAAUCUCUCCAGAGUCCCCAAACCAGACCAGAUCAGACCAAACUCAAGCUGGACUGGGAAAUUUCGCCAGCAGAAAUAUACUACCGUUUGCACGGCAAAAAAAAAUGAUACGAUAACACGGCAGCAGCAGCAGGAAACAGCUUCAUGCAUGCCUGCUUGCCGCCAGAGUGAAGGAACAUCAUCCAUCAGACAACCAAGGUAUGCUCUAACAUGCCGGUCACAGACCCAACAAUGCAUAAUUGAAAACAAGGUAAACCAAACUAAGCAGGUGCAGCAACAGCACAUCAGCUAUGUAUAGUUUGUACCACCGCAUGUCAAGAGUAAGAGUCACAUGCAUGUACAGGUAAUGUAAACCAACAAGUCAAUACAAGCCAGAUUUUCAAGAUGCGCAAAAAAAAUAGAGGUUUAGGUAGGCAGUUGCUGCACACGGACCAAGUAGUAACAACGUGCAAAUCGGUUCUCGCUGCUGUUCACCGUUGUCGCUGUCGUCGGACAGGCACAUGACUGGUGGAUGGUCCCUGGCCUGUGCCUGCAGAACUGCUAGUCAUACCCAGCCUAGCUGGCAGAUGCGCAUUCGGUAAUGCCGAUUGGGAGCCGGGUUGAUUGACACGACCAGCUAUUCGAGCACCAGCAUGCCAGCUUCCUGGUGCUGCAUUCAGCGGAUAUGCGGUGCUGCCCAAGACUAUGUUGGGAUCUGAUGAUUGCUGGGUGGCUACCAUGAAAGUAGGAUUUGAACUAGAUGACCGCAAAAUGUUGGCCAUGGACGAAUCUCGCCGACCAUAUGGUAGCGAGGAUGCUGCUGGGAGAGCUGGGUGUAACCGUGAAGCUGAUGAUAUUGUAUGGUGGUGAACCGAACUUGAAGUCAUAGAGGUCAAUAUGCCACCUGCUUGCCGACUUGUCGCUCCCAUAAUACCAGCGCCAUACUGUUCCUCCGCUGGAGUAGCAGAGAGGUGCUGCUGGUUUGCGAGAGUGGCCACAUAUGGUGGUCGCAUACCGAAUUGCUGGAGAUGAGGUGUGGCAGCAUGUAGUUGUGCUCCGAUGGAUCCGUAGCUCGUCAUCAUAGAAGGUGGUGACAUUGUUCUAUAGAGAUUGCCGGGUAAGAUUGGUUGUGGUUGGACAAUACGUGGUUGUGCUACAAAGCUGCCACGUGGCACAGAUGCUGGAACAAAAUGUGACGACGUGCUGGCUCCAUAGAGAUUGCUAGGUAUAGUUGGUUGUGGUUGGAUAGUCUGUGACGAUGAUAGUUGAGCCACCAAUGAAGGUCGGACAUAGGGUCUUGCUGGUUGUAGAAUGUCUACUGACGAAAUAACUGGUGACACUGAGGUUUGAGUGGCUGAAGAAGAGUCAAGCUGCUGCUCCAUUACUCCACCUGCAUUACACAAGGAAAAAACAAACCAUUACUCGCAUGAUCCAAAGAUUUGAGCAAACUAACUAAGUGUAACAGAUCCUGCAUCUAAGUUUUCCUUUGGUUUUCAGGGAAAAGAAGUGAGUAGAGAUAGAGGAAUGGCACUUCCUGGUCCUUAUAGAUCUGCAUGCAUCAUCAGUUGGUUCACUAUACAAAACGACCAAAUAUAUAGCACAGAAGGUGCUGGCAUAUUGAUGAAUCAGGAAAGAACAAUAUGCUCCAUCUUAUAGAUUAAUCAAGACAAAAAAGGUAGAUUGUCACAUAUCUGCAUGAAGAACAGAUUAUCUAACGGCGAUCAAGCUCUCAGCUACUGAUUGGAAAGGAAAAAAAAAGGCUAGCUACAUGCCCAGAAAAUUAUUUUGGAAAUCAAAUUGAGUGAUACUAGCGAUGGUGAGAUGGAUACCUUGAGAUGCAGAUGAUGGUUUGGAAAUCAUUGGAAAGUUCUCAGCUACUGAUUGGUUUAAAAAAAACUUUCCUGUAGAUAUCAUCAAGCUCCUUCUUGCCCUGGAGAAAAGUGUUUUUUUCUUCUAGUACCAAUGAGCCAUACUUCGAAUUUACCUUGUCAGUUUCUUCUUUUUUGCCAAAGACCUUGCCAAUUUCUUGGUUGUACUCUUCUAGAAGCCGUGAUCUCUGUUCAAGAUGUGCAGCCAAGGAAGAAAAUGAAAACUCUCACAAGUAGCACAUGCAAUUUGCAGUAAAAGAAAAGUAGACAAAAUAAAAACAAGCAAACCUUCUGUUCAUGGUCUUUACUAAGCAAAGUGUGCUGAUGCUUUAACCAGUCCAGCAGUUCAUUUUCCAUCCUUGGCUUUUUAGACACUGAUGUUGUGACUGGAGAGAGUUGGGUGGGCUGCCCAGGACGAGGUGCCAAAUUUGGCAGAAAAGCUUCCUGUCUCCUUUCUUCAGAGCGUGUUCUUUCAUGUGGGACCUGUUGCUUUGUGGUUGAUGAGCGCAUUUCAGGCUGCAAACCUUGGGCUGACGUGGUGCCCAACACAUCAGAUCCUGCUUCUGCAGGUGGAUCCUGCAUUGAGACUGAUGGUUGUAUUUCGGCCUGCAGAUCAUGAGCUCUCACCACAUCAGACGUGUGUGCUGAUUCUACUCCUGGAUGUGGAUCUAGUGAAGGUUCUACACUUUGAUGAACGGGAAUACUUUCAGAUGGAAUAUCCUGCAUUGAGGUCGAUGGUUGAAUUUCAGGCUGCAAAUCCUGAGCUGCCACGGCACCCAAGAUACCUGCUCCUUCUGCUUCUGCCGGUUGAUCGUCCCGCGUUGGGAUUGAAGAAGCUAAAAUUGGUAACUCCAAGCAGACUUGGUCCGCGUAAAGAGUGCCAUCAUUACUUGCACUAACUCUCUUAACAACAGAAAUUGUACCUCCCAGCAACAUACUUGGAUUAGCAAUAUUAUCCCUCUCAGCAUGUUCAGUAUUUCUACACUCACCAGUUAGAGAUUCCUGAAAUAAAAAAUUAAAGGUGUCUGUGAUCAGUUGCCUGGCAUCACUCAAGCAGAUACAGCAACAGAGAACACAUAAAUAUGACAAGUACAAUUACAAGAGGAAACACAAAAAAGCUAAGCCUUAAGCACCAGUGAAGUAUGAAAGAUGAAAAUGACCACCAUGUGCAAGUUCUGAAAGCUGCAAUAUAAAUAUUAGCUGUGUCAACGAACACAUCUUUGAAGUGCUCUUUGACAAAUGAAAUAGAUACUUGCUCAAAAAGAAUGUGUUCUUCUAAAGACAGCAUAUCUCACCGUCAAAGUGUCAAUGCCUAGAGCACAGACGGUAGUUCAUGCUUGAAAAAAAGUUGAUAACUAAGAAUCUAAAACCGAGCUAUCUUGCUGGGGUUGCUCCAUGCUAAUUGUGGGUAGGACGAGUUGUUCUAGUACUCCCUUCGUUCCAUAAUAUAAGGCACGCACGCAUUUCAAGGUUUUGCUUUGACCACCAAUUAGACUAACAUAAUGUGAAUUAUGUGUUAUAAAAAUUAUACCACUAGAUUCAUAUCUGAAAGAAGUUUCCGAUGAUAUAAUUUUAAUAAUACAUAAUUCAUAUUUUCUUGGUCUAAUUGAUGGUCAAAGUUAGAUCUCAAAAUGCGUGGGCGCCUUAUAUUAUGGAACGGAGGGAGUAGUUUUUAAUUGUGUUCCUUGGGGAGGGAGCACACCAGAGAGCUAUAGAAUGCCGCGUGCUUGAAGGCUUGCGGCCUGGUGGUACCUUGGUGGAGAUAGAUUAGUAAGGGAAGCUGAACAGAAAAGGGGGAGAGAUGAAUGCUCAGCCGGGGGGGAAGGUAGACGCGAGGAUGAGAAUUUUAUUAUUUGGUUAUUCGGAAGUAGUAUCUUCAUCCACCUAAACAGGGGUGCAUCUAACAAGCUUGGCUAGAGAUAAGAUGGCAAUUAACUAAAUGGCAAGUUAUUGAAAUUCCAAAAUCCUGUCUGUGCACCAUAAGCUGCUGCCACAAUAGCCCCCACCUUGGUUGUGGUGUGCCAUGGGUGUGGAAUGAUGAGAUGCAUAGACCCAAAGGUUCAAAAUAAGGCAGCUUCAGGUUAACUGUUGCCAAAUGUUGGAAUUAAAGCACAAGUUGAUAUCAGAACAUAGUUGUGAUGUAUGGUAAGUCCAGAAAAGAGAAACUUAUAAUACAAUAUGAUUGGCAGAAAUGCAUUUCAAAAUUAGCAAGACAAUACCUGACCAAUUGAAUCAUCAUUUGCAGGAAUAACACUUGAUGAACAACCAGCUCUUGGUAAACCAAUGCCAUCAGAACUACAACGGAUGCUGCUUUCACCAGCUCUACGUGGAAACAUUUUCUUCAGGAUCCUCAAUUUUCCAUACAUAAAUGCUAUAAGCCCUUCAUUGCACUCAUUUCUCAAGAAUUGUUCAGCAAGGGCGAGUGACUCUUUCUGAUCUAACUGAUGCUUGAGAAAAGAAGCAGCACGCCAACACUGAAGCAAAUAGUUAAAGAAGAUUAUCAUAUCUCACAAAUACAAAUACGAAAAGCAAAAACAUAACAAUUUUGUGUAUGUCUUUCUUACCAAGGCUAUGUUGAAUGCGUGCAACAUACCCACUGGCUCUGAUAAAACUAGAUGAUUUUUCAACAUAUAAUUAAGAAAUUGUUCGGCCAUAACUCUUACGUUAUCCUGCAAUCGUGAAUUAUACAAGACACUUGUUAGAUCAGGUAAGCAUGAAGAAGCGGUUGGAGAACAAAGCAAAAAGAUAGUUUUAUGAAUAGUAAGAUUAGUAAACAAAUGCAAGAGGCAUGUAAUACAAUCCAAAGAACAAUUAUCAACAACUGUUGUCCAUAUGCAAGUACCAAAACGCUAUUUUAACACAUCCUUUCUACUUCAGGCUACUAUUUUCCCUAAUCCAGUCCUCGAACAGGCAUAUUUAACAGCUCUCAAGGAUGUGCCAGAAUUGAACCGUUAAUACUUGAAGCUCUCCUACAGCACAAGUUUUACCUUUGUAGAGGUGAGAGUGACAGAAACUUCAAAUAUUGACUCUUGAGUGAGUGUUUUAAGGCAAUAUUGACUCUUGAGUUGUGACUUUUGUAAGACUUGAUGGUUAGUGUUGACUCAUAGCAUAGCUGACAUAUUAGAUCUGGUUACCAGUUACUCCCUCAGUCCAUGAAUAACUACACCUCUAAAUUUUUGUCAAGGUCUUACUCCAAUUAGGCCGAACAUGGAGCCCCACUAAGGUGUAGUCGUGGGCAGUCACUACUAAAAAAUUUAAGCGAACAUAGAUAUUGGCAGCCCUAAUCUUCUGAUUGCGCAUCCUGCCAAUAGCGAGUCAGAAUGAAAAACAAAGAGAAAGUGAAAAGACUAAGAAAUGCAUACCGGCAAUUGUAGCACCUUUAUUACUUCUGACAGCUCUUGCUUAAGUUUCGCGUGGAGAUUGUUCGGUGUGCCCAUCAGUUUUCUCACCCCUUUAGAACAAAAAAAAUUCUAUCAGAAGAAUGUAUAUGCCUAUUUGCAGCAGAAGUGUACUCUCGUUACAAUUGAUCACAUACCUAAAUUUUGUUCUGUGUCAUCAAGUAGUUGAGGAGCAAGGCUUGAUAUAGCGUGAUUUCCGUCAAUCUUUAUACGCUUCCUUCUGGCUUCACCAGCUUCUUCAGCAGGAACGUUGGCUGGCUCUUCCCUAUUCUUUAACGUUCUACAGCUUGAUUGAGAUGUCUCAGACAUAUAGCUCCAACAAGGGGAUUUCCCAUCCAGUAUAUGUAACCAAAAUUUCGAUGGAUCUCCAUCCACUGAAGGGAUUCUCUCCUUUUCCCCUAUUAGAGUAAUGUUUCUUGAAUAAUCAUCCCCACUCAUAUUAGCUCUUGAUAUGGCCGUGCUAUUUAUUUUGUUGUUGUCUUCAGCAUUUGUGGGUAAUCUCGUUACAAACUCUGAAAUUACUGUAUCCAUUAAUUUUGUGUCCCUUUCAGAACUUUUACUUGCAUAGUUGUCUUGCUGAAGCUCAUCCAGCGUAGUGAAGAGAAAUGAUGGACCCCAUCUGAUCAAGGAAUGGCUUAAACUACACGUUAUAUCCUGGAUGUUGGUAAUGGGUAUGCCCUCCUUUGCAAGCACAAGCCUCUUCUCCUCUAUCGUGAAAGGAGUGUAUAAGCGAAAAAUGCUCGCAUAUUUAAAUUGAGACUCUAUUUUGAUUCUUUGAAGAGCCUUCAGAUCAUUCAGUGGGUUCCAGUCACUAUUAUAUAUGAUGAUGGCAUCAAUAGAUGAUAGCUCAAUGUUUGAGAGGCAUGAACGACUUUCAAUCAGAAAAACAAAUCUCCCUUUAGACUUGUCAUUGAACAUAUCAACUGCAGCCUUUUUACUUGAAAUUGCUGAACUAUCUUCAACACGUUCAUAUGACUCUCGGCCAAAUCUGUGAUGCACAACACCUUCCAAAAUAUCACCUAUUGGGUUUCCAGCUGCUCCACCAGACUGCCAUUGUAGCCAAAAAAUGAACUGAGAAAACUUUAAGGCGUGUUCUCAAAGUCACAAAUUUCAAAAAGUCAUGACAACAAUGAUGAAUACUUCAGGUAACAUGUUCGUACCAAAAGUAAAGUGGGGCUUAUAUGCCAGCAAGAGAUUAUCACAUUAAAUGUCUUUGCAUUGUUAAUUAAUUGCUAACAUAAAUUCUUCUGCACGUCAUGGUAACACCAUGUUCACUCAUGUAAAUACACCUAACAUGAAUAGCAUCUUGGUAUUUUAUGUAAAUGCACCUAACAGAAAUGUAUGGCCAGCAGUGUUCUAAAAACGGAGGUCAUAUGGAUUAAAAAGGAGCAGGCGAGGUGCCUAUACCUGUUAUCAUAUAAUCACCGGUUGGGCCCCCUAAUUGGACCUGUCAGGGCCAUAUACAGUACAGUACUAGGUUAUAACCAAACGAAUAACAUACAGAAUUCUUUUGAACAUUAACCGGUCUAUUACUGACUACCAUCAGUCUUUCUAGCAUAGGCCGGAUGUAACAUUAUUUGUACAACAUGGAACAACUACAGAGAUCAAAGAUAGAGUAAAUUACAGCACACAUAGGUCAUAAGUAAAAAAGGGUAAUGCCAUGAGUAUCCCACCUGAAAAAGAAUAAUGACUCUUAACCUGUUGUUCCUUAUCUCUUUAAGCAUAUUUUCAAGCAGCAGCAGCUUGCCACAUGAGUGCACUCUGGCAUCUAUAGUUCCAGUUCGAGCAUCUAUAGUUCAGUUCGAUUGUGGUUGAGUUCACCAACAAGGCAUGGGUCAUCACAACACUGUAACAAAACAAUAAGAACAGAUCAAAGCCAGCAAAUUUGUCAAUAACUUUGCAGAAGAAGAAAGGUACAUGUACAGAAUAAAUAUAGACAAUCAUGCGAGCGUGAAUCGUUUAAAUUUGCACACCUUUGAGAGAGACAUAAGAAUGUGGCAAUGAGCUCCAAUGCUAUCUGUUUCCGUCUGCGACUGGAGGGUAGAUGAAUUUGCAAGAAGUACGGAGCAAUAUAUCCCUAGCUGCAGUCGUGCAAAGUUUGCAUGAACCCAGUACUCCAAAUAUUUUAAUGGAUCUGAUUGCCGCUCAUACGCAAUAUGACCUCUGAAUUUUGUUUCUGACAUAAGAACGGCAUCAGUAGUGUCAGCGUAAUUGUCAUUUUCUUGCUCUCCAGUAAGGAAAGGUAGCAGUUUCAUGUACUCUGAGAGCUUAUCCUGCAAAAUAACAAGAUUUGGUUUGGCUUAUUUAUUUAUGGUACAAUAGUAACCUCGCAGACAAGAGCUAUCGUUACGCACCUUGAUUGGGGAGCUCAAAAGAAACAAUCUAAAAUCAGCAGAAAGUUUCUUCAGUUGUUCAAGAUAUGUUGAAGCAGAGUUUUGAUAACAAUCAACUAUGAUUGCCUCCCAACCGAUGCGCGCUAUAGGUUGAAUAUCCUGUGCCAUGGCAGAAAGAUCAAAUAAAAAAUAUAAGCUUUUAAGAGAUGAGCUAGGGGUGCAGUGAUGACUACACUAAUAUGAUAUGGGUGCAAUCUAUGUGUUCUUAAUAGAUAAGCACCAUUUGCUUGCUAAAACUAGCAAUGAGAUACUUAGUACUUACCUCUAAGAUAGCAUCAGGAUGGGAUAAGAGAACUUGCAACAUAGUACAGCCUCUGUUAUCAUAGAAUUCCAAAUCUUGGAUUGAUUUGAGCUUGUCUUUCCCCCCACCAUACAUAACAACAUUGAUAAAUGGUGCCAAGUUAUUGAACUGAUCCUCCCAUAAGGAUAGAGAAGGAGGAGGAGUGACAAUUAGGAAAGGUUUGCAGACUUCAGGCCAUACAGACAUUGUGAAUAAGACGGUCUUUGUUACACGCUCCUGCAUGAUACAUGGAUAAAACACAGUGUCCUUUUCAGGUUGUGAGGAGUUAAAAAUUAACAUGGUACAGCUGCAAAAGAUGUACUUAUAGAAGUACAAUGUACAUCCAUGUAAAGUAAGUAUUAGAACAUCUCACAGUGCCAGUAGACCAAAGUACUAGCAAGUAACAAACAAGAAUGUAGGUGGAAAACUGGAAUAGCAUGACACUGCCAAGCUACUGUCAUAGUUCCUACCUUAUCAUCGACAAGAACACCACCAUGAGAUCUGUACCAGAACUCCCGAAGGUGAUUGAUAGAACACAAAUGAUCAUGGUCAAAAUCAAGAUGGCACCCAACUGGUAAUCUCUGAAGUUUCUGAAAUGGGCUUUGCUUAACCUGUAGAGACAAGCAAUUGUAUAUAAGGAAAGCAUUAGCCAUAAGCAAAUAUACAAACUGUAUUUCAGAACAAAAAUAGCAGUUUCACAAAAAUGCAUAGGUUCCAAGCACACAAGUAUAACUAACACGUUACAAAGAUAAGAGAGAUAAUUUAAUGUCAAUGUCCUGAUAGCUCAAUAAAGGUAGGCAAAAAGUGUGGAAAGAUAAUACAGUGCAGUUAAUGUGCAGACCAGUUAGCCAAUUUUAGUUUUCAAAGUAUUGGUGGCUUGUACGAUCACUCUCUUGAACAGCAAAGCAAUCUGCAUAUUAUACACAACCUAGAAAACUGAUGUUAUUUCUACGAAGUUCCUUACUUUCACACAAUGGAGUAACAUACUAACAUGUAGGCAGCCUGAAUAUCAAAGUGGCCAGGCUAUACAGCCUAUCACAAAGAUGCAACUCAUGUCAUGCAUGAACUACAUAGUAUUAGGAGUACAAGAUAUAGCAUUAAUCCCUGACACACCUUUGCUUUCUUGGGAAUAGAGAAUUGUUUUGCAGCUUCGAAGCGGUUCUCGGGUCGGGCUCGACGAGAGCAAAACAUCUCCGAUACGCAAAUCGGAGAAGGGGUUGUUAGCACACCCAACAAUUCCGUUCGGGGCUCACGAACACGGCGACUCUGAUUCACCAACUGUAGUAUGCAAAAAAAAAUUGUCUCUUAUCAAAAUAAAAAUAGUUGUUUUUGAGGAGGGAGGAGGGGGCGGGAGCGGCGGCGCAGGGGGGGGGGGGGGGGGCGGGGGCAAAACACAAUGCCAAAACCCUAAGUAAGAAAGGAAAAUCUAUCCAGCUGGAUUCAGCCCAGGAGUGGAACAUGACCCUGUGGUCACCCUAUCAGCCCACCAAGCCCAUUACAGCAAAACAGUAACGUUUAGUUUUUAAAUGCAUAAAAAUGCCAAAAACCUAACAAAAGGAAAAUGUAUCCCGGCUGGGUCAGCCCAGGAGUGGAACAAGACCCUGUGUUCACCCUAUCAGCCCACCAGCAUGUUACAGCAAAACACUACGUGUGGUACAAAUUUAAAUGCAAAAAUGGCAAAACCCUAAAUAACAAAAGGAUAAUAUAUUCAGGCAGCCCAGCAGGUCCACUAGGGAGUGAAACAUGACCCUGUGCUCACCCUAUCAGCCCACCAGCGCAUUACACAUAUCUAGUUCCACCAUACAUAAUGCCUUAAAACUAGUUCUCUUAUCAUUUUCAGUUCAGGAAUAAAUUAGCAGGUUAAACUUUGGACACUUUUUGGUAGUUAAUUUUAGCAUGUCAGUUGGGAUCUCGGGCAUUAAGAAAAGCUGCAGUCCUCAAGAUAACAGUUCCGUAAGAUUUGGCAGCAUAGAAGUAAAAAUAGAAUUCAGCAUAGAAGAUUUGGCUUCAUUUCCAUGACUAUCUUUUCUAUGAAUUAGUAAGAGCACCUAUGUCGAUAAAAAAUGAACUUACAGAAGAGUUUGGAGUUCCGCAAGCAACACGCAUGUUGGAGUUACCAUCUGUUUCAUCAGAUGGGGUCACCUUGAACUGUCUUGAAACUCAAGCUUCUUUCAGAAUGCUAAUGGACUCACCAUCUCCAAGCAUAUUUCGGGCUAAGAUCAUAUCAAAGAGCAAAUGUUGAACCCCCACCCUUGGAUGCAUAAAAAUGGGAAAGCACGUAAUGGAAGGGAUAAGAGAGUAAAUGUAUGAAACAAAAUUGCCAAAAUAAUUAAAUAUUUGUAAAGUAUAGUUGAAGAGUGGUAUAUUUUCUUACUAAAUAGGAGAGUUUGGAACACUUCGUACUGAUGGUAUACAACUUUCUCUGCAAAAUUGCAAGGCUGAGACAGGGUCAACAUGGAUUCGAAAUGCAUGCCCAAUUGUUCAGUAUCAAAGAAGCGGCAAAAGCUGACUUGAGAACAACAAUACUUGAAUGACAAAAAAAGCACCUUGCAGGACCUCCAGAAGCAGGCGUACGAGGUUGGUUGCCAGGAGGCGCCGGCGGGAAGUGGGCAGCAACACCCACAGCGGCCAUUCGCAGAGGUUUCUCGUCGCCAGCGAACGAGGCUGAGGGGCUUCCAGAAGAAGCAGGCGCAUGGAGAUGCAUUGCUGGGUACCACGUUUCCCUCUGCCGUGCUGCUCCCAUCUCUCGGCUCCUCUAGGCGGGGAUUCUCCAUUUCGACUCUGCCAUCAUUCAUCCAACAAACAUUCCUCAUCGAUCGCAACUCAGCAAUCAACCCGAAACCAAAAACCCCACAUACCAAAGAAAAACACCGCCCAUCUAUCCACACACAGUCACAUCACACGAGCGCGGCGGUGAGACAAAACCUCCCAAAUCCGCAGGGGGGGAAUCGGCCAAGACACCGAACCCUAAGCUCCCGAGCAUUUCCCCUCCCGGAAAUGCGCGGGGGACUUUUCGCCAAAAAAAAAAAAGGAAAUGCGCGGGGGACGCGUGCGCCAACCAGCCCGCAGAAGAGAAGACCGCCGCGAUGAAGGGGAUGGGAGACGGUGGCUGGGGUAAAGUACCUUCGGCGGGGCGCAAGGAAUGCAGCGGCGGAAAAAAAAAUCGGGGAGGCUAGAUUUUUCGGGGAUCGGAAGGUGGGACGGGAGGAGCGCGCGGGAUGGUAGCCGGGGUCUUGAGCUUGCUCUCUCUUGUCUACGGUUCUGCCGGACAGAAGCACGACGAGACGUCGUUGUUACUGGACUCUCUGUCCCCCUGCUGGCUGGGCCGUCCGUCACAAGCCGAACAAACAAAGAGUCAAAGAGACACACAAAGGUCCCAAUUUGGUUAAAUUUAAUUUGUUUUUCUCAAAAAAGAUGACUUUUGGUUUAUAAGACAAAAAAGCAUUUAUUUAUGUGCGUUUGACGGGAUAUUUAUGUGCGUUUGACGGGAUAAUAGAAGCUGGAGGGUACUGGGACGGACUUUUUUCCCCUAUCUGUUUUUCCCCCUAUGUAACAAUGUUAUAUACUCCGUAUGUUCCAGUGAGAACGCUGGACAUAAAUUAGCAGCAUUUUUCUGAAUCCAUGGAUAGCCACUUCGUCUCUAUCUUUAUCUCUAUCUCUACUUCUCUAUCUCUGCUACUUAUAAAGGCACCAAUAUAUUCAUCCCAACGUCCACCCAACUAAACGUAUACGGACAAAUAAUAACCCCACAAUCAGCCUAACAAAACAUGAAUUACUUGCUAAACGAGUGCAUUUAGUGAUUAACUAUUGAGGCUGAAAUUCCACCCGCAGGAAAAUCUUUCAGCCCACUCCGAACCGUUUUUCUUCUUUUCUCCUCACCCGUACAGCCUCCAACUCCGCGAUCUCCUUCCCUUCGCUGCGGCCGCCGCCGCCUCCCACCCCCACAGCCCUCCUCUGCCCCAACACCCAGCGGCCGCCGAAGCCUCCUCCACCCCACGGCCCUCCUUUAUCCCGCCUCUGUCUGGCUCGCCCCUGGUCGCCGCGAUCUCCUUCCCUUCUCUGCGGCCGCCGCCACCUCCCACCACCGCGGCCAUCCUCUGCCCCGCCACCCAGCGGCCGCCGACGCCUCAUCCACCCCACGACCCUCCUCUGUCCGACUCGCCGCUCGCCCGCCGCCGCCGCCGCGAUCUCCACCUACGAUCCGCGCACGCCGUCGGAGGCACGCGAUGAGGAGGCUGCCGACGCUGCCUCCUCCCCUCCGAGGCCCUCCUCUGACCCGCCUCCCACCAGGCCCUCCGGCCCUGCCUCUGCCCGCCACGCCCGUUUGCCAGCCGUCACCGGCGAUCUCCACCUGCGAUCCAUGGCCGCCGUUAGAGUCUCCCGGGUCCUCAAUUCCGUGACACCGUGAGUUCCCAUUAUGUGUCAGUCUAUAAUUUCAACGAAUUUUCGAAGAGAUACAUAUAAUGGUAGGCUUUGCUUCUGAAAUUGCCUCUGAAAUUCGUUUCGGUGUGAUGCCAUCCCGACGGAAUUUUUAGGCUUUGCUUCAUCGCUGAUUCUGCGUUUGAUUCCAUAAAUCAUUUGUUAUUGCUUGUCCGUGAGUCUCAGAUUUGGUGGUUGUGAUUUCUCUUCCUUGCGCUGUCUUGUUAUCUCUGUUUUAAUGCUGCCUUUAAUUUAGUAGUAGUUCACAAUUGAUUACUUGCAACUAUAUAAUUCGAUUCGGUUUACUUGGGCAUGGAUGGCAUGGAUGAUGAUUGAAAAUAGAAUAAUUUGCUAUAGUUCAUAUGAUGAUUAAAAAUAGAAUAAGAUUUUACCUUAUGUUUCUCUGAAUUUUGGUUGAAUUGAUUCUGUGUAUAUCAUAGAUGAUUUAGUAGUCCCCAAUGUCAUGGAUAGUUUAUUUGAAUUCUCCUCAAUUCAUUUGCAGUUACUGAAUAUAUUUAUCUUUGAUUUUGUCGAGAAGUGAAGUCGUAUAAAUUCUGCCUUUAGGUGGCAACUGCACCUGCCUUACCAUAUACUGCUCUAAUUAGAGACAUUUAACUGAAACCAUUGCCUGACGCACACUCCCACUUUACCAUAAAGUAUUUCAUUUUAAAUUUCUGAUGAUUUCUCUUGUUUGAAAAAGACACCGGAUAAGAAGUGGUAGAACCCUGCAAGCAUGGUGAUGUUUUACCCAGAAGGAUGGCAAAUUCAGAAAUACUGCGUAUUUGAUCAAAGGAAGCAUGCCUUAGACUGCUGUCCUGUUUUCUGGCUUGCUUGCAAUGUACUCUCUCCGUUCCAUAAUUCUUGUCUCAAAUUUGCUCAAAAAUGGAUGUAUCUAUUCCUAAAAAGCGUCUAGAUACAUGUAAUAUUUCGAUAAGAAUUAUGGAACGGAGAGAGUACAAACAUUUGCACCAAUUUUCUUUUCUGGGUCAUUUUCUCAUGAUAUAGCAGUGAAGGGUUAGGGUCCUUUGUAGGGUCAUUUUGGUAGAGAAUCAGUUUGUUUCCCAUAUGAAUCUUUUUAUUCAUGGAAGAGCAAACAGAAGUUGAAAGUUUACAACAAGAGGGUCGCUUUUCAAAGGAUAUUAAGGAUUUUGAUCAUGUCCUGUUCAUGGAAGAAAAGUGUGAUUUUUUCUUGAAGUGCAAAUUAUAAUGUGACCGUCAUAAGGACGUUCAUGUCCUGUUCAAUGGAAGAUCACAUAUGGGUGUUGGGGGCAAAUAACAGUCCUGUGCAUGUGACCGUUCUGAACUUUUUAACACUGAACUUUUCAACACUAAAUUAAACCGUAUGGGUGUUCUGGGAAAAGAAUAGUCCAAUUUUAAUGUUUUUCUUACAACAUUAAUAGCAGUAUAUGGGUGUUCUGGGCAAAGAAUAGUCCAAUUUUAAUUUUUUUGUUACAACAUUAAUAGCAGUAUAUAUGGCUUAAUUGUUAUUUUUUCUUACAUUGCUUUUAUAUGGAAAAUUUUAUGGGCACACGUCGGCCGCACCUUCCCUUCUUAACCAUCGACGCACUGAAUAAUAUCCACAAUAUUCUCUGUUAGGUUAUUAUUGUUUGAACUUUGAAGUAGAGCAGCAAAAUGCAGAGGAUAUGAACCUCCUUAUGAUGGUUAAUUUUUCAGGUCCUGGAACAAUAAUUGAUCAAGUAUGUAUAGAAUUCACCAUUCUGCAUGCUUCGUAUAGAAAUAAGGUGCAAUAUCCUAUUUGUAUUCAUUGACAUUCUUUUGUUAUAACGGUCCAAACCUACGACACAUCAUCCAAGUCACAAUAUUUAUCGUCAUAUUGUUUGUAUUGACCUGAUGAUUAUAUUCUUCUUAAAGUUGAAAUCUACUCAAGCUAAAGUUGAUUUGAAUGAGGUGCAGAUGUGUUGUUUCAAUUUUGUGCAAUUGAAGUUUGUUUGUGUCACGUCCGACUCAUGUUCGCGUGGUUUUCCGGUGAAGAUGCAUCUGAAGCUUCAGUUUUGUGUUUGUAUAAUUAAAUUAGCAUUUGUAAUUAGGUGACUGAUCAAUGGAGAAAUUCUUUGCUCUCAGCGCAGAGUAAGAAACAACAAGCACAAAGGAGCGGCUCUUGGAAGAGCUGGUUGGGCUAUGUGCUCUACCUUCUCCACAGUUCAUUUCAGAAAUCAUUGGUUUCAGAUUCUUUAGGUUCUUUUUUCUCCAAAUAGUGAGCAGGUUUGCACCAGGCUCUCACUUCACUCUUGGAAAGAAACUUGGAAUUGGUAGCCCACUGUUGGGAAUAUAGAAAUAUACAUGUUGUAUUCACGGUGAGAAGAAUUGGAUCGAAGUUUGAUGUUGCUGCGUGCAAGGAUUUUCAGUUUCUGAGAUGCUUUCUCUUCUAGCGUUUUGUUUCAUGGUGCACCAGAUUGUAGUGAUUAGGCCUCAUGUUCUUUUUUCUCCAAAUAGUGAGCAGGAUGACUAUGAAGUUAUUCGGAAAGCUGGGAGAGGCAAAUACAGUGAAGUCCUUGAGUGAAUCAAUGGUAACAAUAGUUAGAAAUGUGUUAUUAAGAUACAAUAAUGAGAAAUGUUAUUAAGAGCUUCAGUAGCGAUUUGAGAGAACAAAAAUGUUUGGCCUCGAGAUUUUUUAUCCUUGCAGCAUAAUAUAAGUUUUACUCCCAGUGGGUACUGUUAUUGAAUAGAUAUUUUUUUACUUUGACCAUCUUAUUCCAAGCAAGUUCAACCUGUUGCUUAUACAUUUCUAUAACAUGCCAUCCAGUGAUGUGUUAAUUCUCUGCUUCUAUGAGCAGGCCAAAGCUAGCUGUUCAUUUCUUUAGGUAAGCCCAUAGUUCUUUCUGGAGCUUAAGGAGAAGUUCUUGUCCUUCCGAGGGAAAAGAGGGCACAGCAAAACAAAUUCUUCUAUAUAGUAUCCUUGUCUGUUACUAUUAAUAAAAUCAAAAUUGUUGAUGAAGACGGGAGCAUGGGCAGGAGUAUCACCGGGGAGCAGGCAAGCCGCGCAUCCAUCCGUGCUAGCUCACCUAUGGUUCAUCUUAGCAACGGAACUAUGUAAAUGUGGUAACAUACAUGAAAAUAUGUAAAUAUUAGCCUAACAAAUUAUGCCAUAGGCAUGCUAACUAAUUUUAAACAGAGAGAGAGAGAGAGGGAAAGACUGAAAGAAUAUGCAAAUAGGAAAGGGGAAAGACAGGUGGCUGGCGGGGCCGGGUGGACAGGAGAGAUCUUGGAAGGGUGUAACGGAGAACGGGGGGAGAUGCGAGAGAUUGAGGAAGUUCGGGGGUGGCCCCCAAUGGAGGGGAACGAGGGAGGUUGUGUGGAGGGGGGAGGGCGGAAUAGAGGGGAGGGAGGUGGCAUGAGAGAGCCGGGCAUUGGGAAACCGGUGUGGCUGUAGUGUUGUGGACUCAAAAAGAGAAUGAGGCUUCACAUGAGAUGUGAGGGUGGGGGCAACUGGGCGAGAGAAGAACAGGGGAGGGUGGGGGCGAGAUCUUGUAGACGGUCAUGUGCCUUUUACAUGUUACACUUCAUAACGCACUGGACGGAAGAUAAUAUAAUAUCUUGUGCAUGCUUACUAGUAAUGGCAGUGCAGUAGAUUGUUUUAAAAAAUAGUGUGUAACAUGGAACUACUCCGUAUAUGUUUAUGUAACCUUCUAUUGAUCCGGUUUGUGCUCUACAUGUAUAUCUUCUCAAAAGGAACUGAAACUAAUAGUAUCACCCAUCUUCAAUUCCAGCCUCAAACAUUUCUUGCACAAAUAAGGAUAAUUAACACCAAAAUCUCACCGACGUGUUUCCUUGGAUCAAAACAAAGCCUCUGUGGGUAUAAUGGACUCAGAAUACAAUACAGUUCCAUGAAAACAUAAUAUAAAAAUGACCAUUUAGUCUACAAUUUAUUAGAAGUAGCCAAGCAAUUGUUGUAGCUAAAAACUUCAAAACAUGCAAAGUAUUGCAGAAGGGAACAUUACUAACUGACAAGGAUACUUUGGAAAGUUAAUUAAGGGAGUUAAAACUCGUAAGGAGUCACGGAAUUACACAACUGCUACAAAACUACUUUCAAGGAAGCGAUAUCAUUUUGUAGCAAAUAAAGGCCUCAUGCUUACUGAUUAUGGAGCUUGUAGAUUCGGCAUGCCUUCAAAUGGCAUUUUAUUGGUCAAUAACUCCCACAGGACGAUGCUGAAGAUGUACACAUCCACUUUAUUUGUGUAGUGCUUUUUCUCACCGCGUCGAAGCAUGACGGACUGACAGUGCUGUAUAACUGCAACAAAAUGCUAUGAGUCAGGUUUUAUUAUCACACAGAUCAGUGCUACAGCAUCAGAUUUUUGUAUAUUCUGAAACCAUGAUACUCUUAAAACUAUAUCCAGCAAAUUGGGCAUACAUAUCGAAGUAUAGGUUUAGGCUGAAGCAUAAAUCACAAUUUGGCUGAGAUAUUUAAUGAGACAUUUUAUUUUGGCUUCAGUUGAUAAUUUAGUAAUUUAGUAAUAUUAAGUAGCUAUGGCAAAAAAGUGUGAUUUCCGACCUCUGGGGCCAUCCAUCUGUAUGUCCCAGUUUCGGCUGUCAUCAUUUCAGUCACAGCUUCCUCUCGUGCAAGUCCAAAAUCAGUAAGCUUCAGCUUCCUACCGUUUGUAGUAAGCAGCAAAUUACAAAAUAGGCAAUAAUUCAGUGACAAAAGCAAUAUAAUUAUUUUCCGCGGGCGGAUGGAAAAAAACAAUAUAAUCAUUUAUUCACCUUUGCAACGAAUGUUUCUCUCCACUUUUCUCCAAUGCAAGGACGUCAGGUGCUUCCAGGGUGAUGAUUAUCUGUGUCAUCCCUUGUCUGAGUAGGCUACAUGCAAAGCUGAAGAUGAAGAACAAGAAUCAGAAAAGGAAAUAGCCAAUUUGUACUUCUUAACUUCUUUAGAACAAUAGCCAGUUGUACUAAAAGAUCCUUGAUCAUUGAAAUACAAUAUUUACCCGAUAUUUAUAGCUGUCUCCAUUUUGUCACCCGUCAGCACCCAUGUCUUAAUUCCUGCUUGUGCAAGCUUGUCAAUGCAUUCUGGCACCUGAAUAUAAAUGCACAUGCUCACAAGUGCCCUUUCUGGAGCUUGUCUUCAGCAGCAGUAACACCAAGAAGAAGCAAAUCCUGCUAGAUGUUGUCAGAAGCCUCCUCAAGUUUUUCAUCUUUGUCAGCACUUCCAGAUAUUUUGGCAGUGUGGAAUUUUUCAGCAAAUUUCUGAUAUUCUUUCUCAUCCAAGACACGGUAUGCAAGAACCAAGGUUCUUAGACCAGAAAUCAGAAUACUUAUUUUUGUGCCUUUUAGUCUCUUCCUCAAAUUUUCUUCCAAUUGGUGCAAGCCUCUGAACAUCACGCUACUGACAUUGACUUGGAGAAGACAGAUAAGAAAACAUCGGCAUUGACAUAAGCUCCAUAGUUAUUUGUGAGAAGAUACAGAAAUUUAGAACAAAUGAAGUAAUUACCUAUCAGCACCCUUUGCUAAACAGCAAUAUCCUUCGCUCUGGUUCCCUUACUACCACGGGUGGACUCAGUACUUACCUAUGAGAUCUACUUUGUGUUCUACACUCUCCCUUGCACUGGAUUGGAGUUAACUGGAUUUCUCCUGCCUUAAUUUAUCUGUUGUAACAUGCCAAUUCUUAAUCUCAGACGAUCUGGCAAUUUAUUCCAUGUAACUGGAUUACCUUGAUAUGUGUAGUUGUUCUUGUACAUAGAUCACUUGAAGAAAUUCUAAAAAAUCCUUUGGUAUUUCUUUAGAUGAAACAUGAUCUUUACUACAUCAGAGGUUCGUCUGCCAAUAUUUGCAAAAUAAAGGAAUUGAUGAACAGUCAAUCUAACGGGAAAAAAAAUGCAACCAAAGGGUUCACAGCCAUAGCAGCUGUAACAGGAACUUGCUUCCACAGAAGAUGCCAACCUGCGUUAGCCAAAAAAUCGGAGGAGGCCGGGGAGGAACACGUCGUCGCCGUUGUUGCCUCCGACGUCGACCCUCCCUCCGCAGCGGUCGGCGGCAUGGCUCCCUCCCUCACCGGCGCGGACGGCCCGGGGUCUGGUCGGACGAGGCCGGAGAGGAGGGCAGCUUGGCGCGCGCGGCUGGGACGCGGCAGCGGGUGCCGCGGCUGUUGAUGGGGGUGGUGAGGAGAGGAGACGGCGGCGGGGGAUGGCUCGGCUGGAGAUAGGAGUGCAGAGGGGAGCACGCAACUGGUGGACGAACGGCGGUGGAGCUCGGGAGGCGGGAGAGAGAGCAGAGGGGAGAGGUGGCGAGGGAGAGUUCGGUCGGUCGGGAGUCGACGUGGCAUAUCUCGUCCCUGUCGGCCUCCCUUCUUUUUUAUUUUUGUCCUCACCAUUUCCCUGUACAAAUUGGAUGGGUUUGUCUAAAUUCUUGACUCAAAUUUGCCUAAAUAUGAAUAUAUCUAUUCUUAAAAAACGUCUAGAUACAUGUAAUAUUUCGACAACAAUUUAGGAUCGGAGAGAGUAUUAAAUUCUCUCGUGAUAAUUCACAUUUGUUCAUGUAAUGAGUCUUUAACACGUGGUUCAAUAGGACAAGUGGACAAAGUUUGGCUAAGUUUUGCAUAAAUGGAGACUUCUUAUUCUCUUCACACAUUUGGGAAAGAAAAAAGAGAUGUAGACCAUUUUUGGAUAAACGGUGUUUUCAUUGGGCUGUGUUUUUGUCGUAGAACCCCAAAUGGACAACUGAGAAGGACAUUGGAGAUGCCCUCAAAUGAUGGUCUAAACAAAAUGUUAAAAGCCAAAAUCACAUAAAUAUGAUUAUUUUUUAUCUUAUAUAAACCAAAAGUCAAAACUCAAAAGCACACAAGUUAAACCUAACGAAACAGCACUAAAGGCUCCGGAUCGUGUGCUGGGAACCAAACCAAAAGCAUGGGUUGUCCUCAAACGUCAAGUGUGCCACUUCAAAGGGAUACAGCUCUCGUGUCAUACAACUGUUGAUGUGCUAGUCACUAGCUGAAAGUAACCCAGCACUGUCCCGCUUCAAAUUAUGUCAUUUUUUUUCCCAUUAAGACUAUUCUAUUUGGGUUUUUUCACACAUUCCAUAUGAUGUAUGACAGACUUCGCUUUGCUCCCGGUUGGUUGUUUCUGUGCCCAAUAGAGCUAUUAUUCCACGAGUCCUCGACGAAAGGGUAAAUUCCGGCAUAUUCGAAACAAAUUAAGAUACAUGAGAACUAUAAUCAUGCCACUUGCCGAAAAGAUGUCAACAUGUUUCUACUUAGACAUUUUAUAACAACUUCUUUGCAUUUUCAAGGUUAUAAACAGAGUUUAAUUACUAUAAAGAGGCAAGUUGCUUGAUGCAAUGGUUUUUAAAACAAAUAUACGUUCUAGCGUACACUUCUGUAUUAAUAUGUAAGGAGAACUUACAAAGAGGAAUACAAAUACGAAUGUAAAGGAUAUAGUUGCCUCAACCAACAAACAUUAAGCCUACAACCCAACAAUAAGGACAACACCAUCGUCUAAUGGCUUUACUAGACGCAGUGGCCACGUGGGAACUUCUUUUCUAUUUUAUUUUUUAGAAUGCACCCAUGGAUGUGUAUCAUAUGGUAUUGAAGAAGAAGACUGCAAAACAGUUGCAACGCAAAAGAGUGGGACGUAGGAUUACAUAAUUACUCACAAAUAACCCACUCCACAUGAUGUGUGUAAUAACGAUACAAUAGUUACAAACAGUUACAAAAAGAAGCAAAACAAUAUCUCAUAUGGGAUAUUUUGGGUCAUAAAAUUGUUGGAUAAUUAUUUAAUUCUUUAUUAUAGUUAUUUUUUCCCAUUUAUACCGUCAAGAAAAAAACGUUCUUGUGUCCUGCGAUACUCGCUGAGCUUAUAUGCCAGUUGUAUGAUCAUGUUUUGGUUACUGCCUGAUACUUGUCACAUAACCGCGAACUGCUUGUUUUCGCUUGACCCAAGUCUCAAUGAACUAAAACAAGGAAAAAUAGUCAUUCCCGUGUUAUCUCUUUCGAUCCGUGCUAUAUUUGGGAAACAAAGUGAAAUUUACUCAUGGAUGCCUAGAACUACAGGCAUGCUUACGUGCUGCCAAAAGAAGAAGGCAUGUUUAUGUGCCCACGAUGUCAAAUUGUCAAUCACGUGUCGAGCUUGUUGGAAUUUAUGUGGCCCACCCCACUAUUUAAUUUAUAGUCCAACCUAGGUGAAAGGCAAAAAAAAACCAUAGGUAAAGGAUUUACCUAGGGCUUAGGUAAAGGAUACUAGGGACAGUACCUCUUUACCUAGGGGCUAAUUGACUGGCUCCAGGGAAACAUUACUUUACCUCACAUGCUCUAGGUAAAGGUUGUGGGACCCUAUGAUACUAUCAGGUUUGUCCUCUUUCCCUAGAGUAUUUUUACUACCUUAAUUUGAAUUAAACUCUAGGGAAAUCAUCACUGCCAUCAUUCAUAUAUGCAUAUUUAAAUUCAUAUUCACCAUAAUUCAAAUUCAUACUAAACGUUCAAAUUAUUGGAGGCAUAAAUCAAAACUGAAUUUGAUGAUGAACACCAUGAAACUGUCAGGUCUCAGCCUCAUUCAAAUAAUAUUGAAAUCUAUAUUGUACAUCACAGCCCAUCAAACGAUCAACAUACAAAGUACGGUCUUUGAUAAGCAACUACAUUUUGUUGCACCAAAAAACAUCAAUCUGCUAUAUAGUUCAGCAGCUACACAGUUGCUACCACCAAAAACAUAGCAGCUUGCAGAACAUGCCUUCAAUAUUCAAGUCUCGUGCAGAAACAUCUAAGCUCGCAUUGUGGUCCUGAAAAUAAUGGAGACAAGAAGUUUAUCUUCUGAAAAUAAUGGUAAAAAUUUCGGCAGCAACAAUUAUAAAUGAGACAAUAUUGACAUCUGAAAAAGAUCAUACAAGCCCAUCCCCACCCUCUCACAAGUAUAUCCACCAAUUCUCAUAACACAGAAGCAUAUGUAUAUCAUUAUCAUCCCAAAGGGCUCAUCACAGUUUUCACAUAACAAAUAAGAAAUAAUAUAUAUCUUCAUUCGGAAGGAGCCAUCACAAGUUUUAGAAAAUAUACAUGAAGAUAUAGAUUAUCAGCAUGUUCUUGUACGCACAAAGAUGGAGGAUCUCGGCUACUAUCCAUAAUCUGCAAACAAAAGAGCAAAAUGUGAAAAAUGAAAAAAAAAGGAGCACGCAUACAGUACAACAAAAAUAGGCAUUUGAUGGUACUUUAUGGACCAACCUAAGGUUUACUCGCUUAUGCACGAGCUGCAAUUAAAGGACCAAUUGCAAAUACUCAGUACAGCCACUUGAAGUCCACAUAAUUUAAUGGUACUUUAGAGAUUUAGUCCUCUCGUUAGGUCAAUUGUCAAACCCAAUAAAUGAAUCAAAAGAGAAAAUCUACAGCUCCAGGAAAAGAACAGAAAAUAUGACAUAAGUCUAGUAUAUUUCUUAUUUUUGUCUGAGAAGUUGACUUCAUACAAUAAAGUAUUGGUAAUGGAGCAAACUUUUAUUGAAACAAGUAAUCUGAAGAUUCAGCGGAAGAAAUGCUUAAGUACUUACAUGUGCUCCUGAAGUGCUAGGAAGCCCGUACAGAGACAUGUUAGAAACUGGCCUUGUUAUUUAUUAUAGCUGUCAAUAAAUUUUUCACUCUGAACUCUUGCACAUGCUCAGAUGUUCGGCUCUCAACAUAAGCUCUUUGCACACCUGGAUGCAGUUCAGUACAACGAUUGCAAAUGAAGACAAAAAAUGGCAUGCGAAGAAGUCAUGGAAGGAGCAUUUCAACAAAUACCUUUCCUGCAUUGCAUCGAUUGAUCUCUAUUGGUGCUGGCUAGGCGUCUCAUAUCUCUUUUCCUCCUGAUCUGGAUCCAGGGACUCUCCUGCACAUCAACCAAAUAGAGAGAGAGAGAGGGAGGGAGAACCUUUGAAGCAGAGCGGAGGUUGGGUGAGCCGGCCAGGGGGAGCGCGUUUUAGCAGAUAGGGUCGUCAUCGAAGCAGAAGGGGGUGCCGGGCGUGGGUUACCAACGCUGGGUCGAUGCAGUCACCAGCGGCCGUCAGAUCUGGAGGAGACGGGUAGCGUCGCUGGCCGUCAGAUCUGGAGGACGCGGAGCGCCUCCCUCACCACAGGCGACGCUGCUGCAGUUCCCUUACCACGGGCGCUGCUCCGGUUCACUCACCACCAGCGGCGAGGCUCCGUCACGUCGGGCAGCGCGGCUCCGUCACCACGAGGAAAGGCGCCAUAGCCAAAUCAGGAACAGCGGCAAGGAUGGAAGGGAAGAGAGGUCGGCAGGGAAGGAACGAGGAGAGGUCGGCAGGGGGGCGGGAGCGGGACUGUAGGGGGCGGCGAGCCGGCGAGCUGAGCUAGCGGGGAGGAGGAUUUGAUGGAGACAGAGUUGGCGGAGGAUUUGGGGGAGAAAGAGGGCCUUUUUCCUUUUUUUUCUCGUGAACGGGCCAAUUUACUGGCGCGCUUGCUGAGGGCCCCAUAUCGAUGUCCCAAAAAUAUUGAGAUUGAAAAAAAUGGCGCGGCCCAGUUUUCCUCGGAGCCAACGUGCCAUUCUUCACCUACUGCACACACUUAACGCUAGGUAAAGCAUAUUGCUCUUUUUUUUUUCCGCAGAAAUCAUUUUUUAUCUAGAGUUUACUGUUCAUAACUUUGCUGUUCCAAGGGGAUUGAAAUCAGCUCUAGGUGAAGGCUUGGGCUCGAGGGAAAACUCUAAUUUCUAGUAGUGCAAUAAAUUCCUGAAAAAAUUCCAAAGGCCCAUGUUAACACAUUCAUGUGUGACAAUAGGUGGGAAAAAAGUUUAGUCCCACAUUAUUAGUUGAAGAGAGUUUGCACCAACUUAUAAGGGGGGCUCUUCCAAUGUUGUAUGAGCAUGAGAAGAAGAGAGCUCCUACACGCUCCUCUUCCUCCGUCUCGUCACGACACGCGCGCGCCGCGGGUUGCGGAAAUGUCUCGAGUCAAGAGCUUCUCUAUCUUUUUGUCAGUGGGUUUUUAUUGCCUCUUCGUUUUUCGCCUCCCUCUGUUGCUUGCUCUGUCUAGAUAAGAGAGGUCACUCCUCUCCAAAAGAACACAGGAAGAGCACCUGCCUCCUCUCGUUCCAGAGCAUUACAUUGCCUCCGUUCUUCCCCAUCCCGUCUCGCGGCGUGCACCGCAGGUGGGACACUAGGCCUCCGGAACCCCGCCUCUUCGAGUCCUGUACGGGAGAAAGGCGAUAAGGUUUUUGGGGAGCGCUACGCGCUACUACUGGCUCCUUCCUCUUCACCGCGAACGCACUGGACUCCGACGACUCCUUUCCCGACGACGACUUCUUCCCGGAGGUCGACGACAUCCUCGGCAUCAACAUGACUGGCAACGAAAACACGAGCGGUUCCGUCUCUGCACCGUACAUGCCACUGUUUCCCAUACUUGAGACCAUGUUGCAGUUCGUAUGUUUAAUUAUUGCCUUAAAUGUGUUUUGUUAUUAUGUUUGCAUGACUAAUGUGUUUGAUCUACUCAUGUUUUACCCACUAUUUAUGUUGAUUAAUUCCUGUAGCGGAUUAUUCAUGGUUGCAAUAUUCCACAUAUUUUAUUUACUGUUUUUAUCUAUUAAAUCUUGUGAUAAAUUGCUCGUAUUUCCGUCAGAGCUAACCUCUGUCUAGAAAAAUGAAACAUUCACGAAGUCAAAAUACUUCCUUGACUUGCUUCUCACACGACGCUGAACUAGUCCCCCUCAAGCUAUUUUGAAUAUCCAGAAAAGGAAGAAAAGUCCCGAGAUUUUUCCUUUCUUUUUCCAAAACUCCCCGCUAGUGACCGAGCCCGAGAGGUCCAUCCAGAAGCUUCCGACCUACGAGCUCCCUCCGCACGCAGCGACCGACGGAUCGCCAGCGAAACGUCUCGACCAGCCACGUGUCGUCACGUAGCUUCUGCCUUCCUCGCGAUCUCCACCCCCAGCGGCCCAACCCCAUUACCACAGCAUGGGCCCCACCGCAGGCGAGGACGACGCCUCCCUGUCGCGGCCGCUGCAUCCCUCUCCGUGCAGCCGGUCCACAGGCGCAGUAGUGGCUUACAUGCGGGCCAUGCGCGGCGACAAAGGCGCUACGUCCACGCUAGUAAACGCCUAAGCGGCAGGCUUCCGCGAGCGUUGGCUUGCACGGCCGAUCGUGCUGGGAUCGACGGCUGAGGACGCGUCACGCGGCGCACAAAACACGCGGCCCGGAGCACGGGAAAGGGAAAAAGCGGAGAAGGCGUCGCCGAACAGAAGCAUUCGAACGGAGAGAAAGAGAGAGAUAGUAAGGAGAGAGCAGAGGUAAGCCAUGGCGGAGCACAAGGAGGAGUCGGUGAUGGACAAGAUCUCGGAGAAGCUCCACGGUGGGUCCUCGUCGGGGUCGGACGACGAGUCGUCUUCGGCCGCCGCCGCCGUCAAGGCCAAGAUCUACCGCCUCUUCGGCCGCGAGAAGCCCGUCCACUCCGUCCUCGGCGGCGGCAAGCGUGAGUCCAGACCUCAGAACCGCCUUUUCCUUCCAUUUCUGCGCUACUGGGGUUUCUUCCUGCCUGCGUAGCGUAGAUCCGGCCACAUCGGUGGUUUUUGCUCCGCAUAUCUGAGUUGUGAACUGCUCGCCCGUGGUCGGAUUCGCUGUCCUCUGUGGGGAAAUUUUGUAUUGAUGGAAAUACUAGCUCUUAACGUGUCAAAAGCGUCUCGAUCCGCGAUUUUCCGAGUCAGGUCCUUUAGAGGAACACGCCGUAUUGUGAAUAGGGUACGAUCAGGUUUCUACUUGUGUUCCACUCGGUUGGAUUGAGAGUGAUUUCAGUGAUGCUGUAGUCUUAGUAGAGUAGCAGUAGAACUGUGAUGCCGUAUUGCUGUACCUGUAUGCCUUUUACGCUUAAACCCUGUUACCAUGAGAUUCUUCCUUCCCUUUGGAAGUUGGCAUGUAUCUCUGUUGCUGUCCUGUACUUACGGUCUAUGCUUGCAGCUGCUGAUCUCUUCCUAUGGAGGAACAAGAAGAUCUCUGGUGGCGUGCUUGCGGGCGCCACUGCCAUCUGGCUGCUGUUUGAGGUCAUGGAAUACCAUCUCCUCACCCUCUUGUGCCACUGCUUCAUCCUCACCCUGGGCAUCCUCUUCCUCUGGUCCAACGCCUCUGCAUUCAUCAACAAGUGAGCAUCUUUGAACUUCAGAUGUUAUUCACAGCUAGAUCAAAUUUAAGAUAACAAUGCCUUGUUAACCCAGCAUGAAUUUGUCUGGCGAAUAGAUGAAUGAUGUGUGGAUGUGAUAAUCCUCUUUUGCCUUAACAUGUUCUGCGUUUUAGUUAUGUGGUGCCUAAAUUAGUUUGUGGUUGUAAAUUACUGCUUGCAUUUUUUUUCAGAUCCCCUCCUAACAUUCCUGAGGUGAGGAUUCCGGAGGACCUUGCUGUCAAUGUUGCGCGAUCACUGAGAUACGAGAUCAACAGGGGCUUUGCUAGCUUGAGGGAUAUUGGCCAAGGCCGUGACCUAAAGAAAUUCCUGAUUGUAUGUUGAUUGACUGCAUGAUUCACUUCUAUUUAUCCUUCACUGUUUAAAGGUAUUCCUGGUUAUUUGAUCAAGCACUUGUGCUGCCCUCUUUAUUCUCAGGUGAUUGCAGGUCUGUGGACUCUCUCUGCUCUUGGAAGCUCCUGCAAUUUUCUGACCUUGUUCUACAUAGGUAAUGUGGUUUGUUAUUACAAUCUUUAACUUGUAUACGUGCAAUAACUAAAACUGCCAUUGUUUACUGAUUAUGGCUUUCUUGCUCACAGUCUUUAUGGUGCUGUACACCGUGCCGGUUCUGUAUGAGAAGUAUGAGGACAAGAUUGAUGCUUAUGGAGAGAAGGCCAUGAUCGAACUGAAGAAAUAUUAUGCCAUCUUCGACGAGAAAUGCCUGUCUAAGAUUCCAAAGGGUCCGUCAAAAGAUAAGAAGCAUUAGAAGGAGUAUCUUGUGCAGGAUGUAUCCUCUCUGUUGAUCACUAAGGAUGGUUGUGAUUCCAUGUCUGUAGUUGAUAGUAGACACCUUAUUUGGACCUUAGUGUGGUCAGUAGUCGUGACGUGCAACUUCUACAAACUUAUGUUAUGCCAGCUUUUUCUCUAUAUCCUGUUUUGCGAUCUAUCUUUUAACAUAGCAUUCACACUUGCUUGUUGUUGGUGCUGGAAUGUGUGAAGGAUGUGUUGGUGUUGGAAUACAUAAAAAAAUCUGGUCAAAUUUUGACAUAGCAUGCACACUUGUUAGUUGUUGGUGCUGCAAUGUGUGAAGGAUGUGUUUGUGUUGGAAUACAUGAAGAAAAUCUGGUCAAAUUUUCGUUGUUAAUAUGGAUUCCUUUGUUAUAAGCGCAGCUAAAACCUUUUGCUUGGGUGAAUGCACGGAUGACUUGAUCGAUUUCAUGAUAUACUGCUAACGUUUCAAUCCAUUCUUGGAUAUGUAUACCUUGUGCUUUGAUUCUGAUUAAUUGUGAAGCAGAAAUUACGGUGCAGGGAAAUACUCUGUUUGCUCAUGUCAGUAACAUCCUCGCUUCUUGGUAAAAAAAAAAACAUUCUCACUUGCUAAUGAAAAACUACUGCCAAUAGCAUUGGAGCACAACUUAUAAGCUUGGGUUCCGCCCAUUGAGCCUUUCAUAGAGUUGUAGUCAGUGGUCAAAAACAGUGCACAACUACGGUAUAACAAAACUAAUUAGUAAAGCAAAUUUACAAGACUAAUCUCAGUCCAAAUGACAACUCCAAAAUCGUCUCGACGUAUUAUCUUCAGAAUCACUAUCUGUAUCAUCACUGUCAGAUGAUGAAGAUAGCCGACCAUGAGAGUUCAAUAUGUAACCUGUAACCUGGUCCAGGAAGGAGUGCAAUCAAAAGGUUAAAUGUACAGCGCAAUGUCUGACCAAAAAGAAAAGAGAGCAAAAUAAGCUCACGGACUACAUCCAAAAGGCUUAUCAAGAAAAUGUAUGUUUCAUCUAAAAAUAAGUACUCCCUCCGUUCCGAAAUGCUUGUCGUGGUUUUAGUGCAAAUUGCACUAAAAACACGACAAGUAUUUAGGAACGGAGGGAGUAGUUCCUACUGCAGUAUAAUGAGUGGUCGAUUAUACUACAACCCAUGAACUACCUUCCAGGUUUAAAGUACAAACUAUCAUACAAAGUAGUAUUAAGCAUAAGACAGAAGUACUUACUGUAGAAGGUAACAGAGGCGUUAGUUUUACUCCAUCUUUUUCGUUCUUAUUAGGACAUUGGUGUGGAGCAGCACAUGUCAAGUUGCUCAGCCAAAUAAUCGCCUGGCAUUGCCGGCAUACUGCUUUGUUUGAUGCAGAACUCCAAAGUAUGUAUUCUGUAAUAAUGAUCAUUCAGCCAUGUUUAGGGAGCACCAUUAUAAGUUCUGGAGUACAAUUUACAUCCAGAUUAUUGGCAUGCGGGAGCAUUACCUGCACGUUUAUUGUGGAAAACCUCUUUCCAGUUCAAACUGGAAUCACCAGAUACUGGAUCCGUGCUAUUCUGCACAAGAAGACCAUCACUGUUCUGUACACCACUUGAUACAGGUAUGCUGUUUGAACUCACAUCGCAGAUGCUAAAGAAAAUGGAGUAGUUCAUUUUCCACAGUUGGUUGUCAUUUGCAGAUGAAUUCCAAGACCUUCUAGGGAAUAUGCAAGUGUGAAUAAGAGCUAGCACAUGCGUGAAUAAGUAUAUAGAUGCGAGAGAAAAAAAAAGAUACCAGCAAACUAGACCAGCUGCUACCAGAGAACGCAUGUCUAGAAAACUGAAGAUAUGAACAAGCACAUCAUGUGGUAUGUGUGGAGGACCUGUCAAAGAUGUUCAAGAUAAAUACCACGAUGACCACUAUACAAAUAUAAUUUACAAUCUCAAACUCCUAAAUCUUGACAGGAAGCUGGAGCUUAUGAUGACUUGGUAAAUUAUACCGAGAAUGGUCAAAAGUUCAAAACUAUGGACCUUUCAGCAUAAAAUGGAGAAGGUAGGCCGAACAAGUAUGACAUGACAGAAAUCAUCUGCCUGUUAAUGUUAUCAUCCCAGAAGAAUAUUCAAACAUAAUAGUUGUUGCUUCAUAGAACCUAGAAAAAUUAAAGAAAGAGCACACAUUUUAUCUAAUAAAAAGUUAAAAUACACAGCACAAGGGAAUGACAUCUACAUCUACAAUUCUACGUUAUUUUAGCACCAAAUAAAAGAAGCAAUGAGCACAGUAGUUCUCUGAUGAGCGGAACCAAGAUUUGCAUGUUUGCCAAGCAGGGAGCUAAUAAUGCAUUUGCACAUUUGAGAAGGAACCUGCUAUACCUGGCUCUUGUUGAACUCUAGCACGCCUCUUAUGUGCAACUACAGAACACUUGAACUCUGAAAUAGCCUGCGACUUCUUUUGCUUUGGUAGGGAAACUUCCACCGCUUGGAGAAGACCAUUAGCCGCCGGUAAUGCAUACCCUGUAUGCACACUACCAGAAACAACAGGUCAGUACAAACCACCAUGUAGCAAUAACAUGAAAGGAUAAAGUCAGGUCGUGAACUAAAAACAGCAUACUAGUAAGAAUAAAUGGGCAUUGGAGAAAUGAGCUUUCCUAUGGUACUUGAGAGGUACUACGAGAUACCCGUUACAUCCUUAUAUAAAAUAAGGUACUAAUUAAAUUUGUGCACAUAUGUAAGUAGGGGUACAAUGGUAUCGAGGACCAGGACUUGGUGUCCACUGCGUGUACGCACGUGGAGCGGGCAGACAGGGAGGUCUUUACCAAACAUGGCUGUCGGUCUACUAUAUGGGUCGACGCUCCCUCAACUAGCUGUUUUUUUGCCUCGUCGGAGAAUUUGUACCUUUUUUUCUUGACGCGUUUUGUGGCUGUGGUUGUGGUUGUGUGCAUCUUAUGUAGAGGCCGAGUGAUUGAAUUCUUGUGACAAUUGUAUCAUCUUGAUGUGGUGGUAAGAAUCAAUAAGGUCCUCAUAAUCUAAAAAAAGGCAGCCCGAUGAUCGUUUCACACCUCUCUCACCUUUGCUGGUGGCCACACACUGCACCACCACGCUCGACAAUGCUCCCUUCUAUCCCCUUUCCAAGAAGACCUCUGAUUGGGGCCUGGGCGUAUCCCACCUAGUGCAUGAUCCCUCUCACAUACUGGAGCUUGCAGCCGACGCUGUUUGGCCCGUCCAGAAGUACGCUCGGGAUGUUUUGUCGACAAUCAACAAGGCAUCCAGCACGUGGCUACCGUGGAUCUGGCAAAGCCAUGCAGAUAUCUCAACCAUGAAUCCAUCUACAAAUGAAUUAUCUAUCCCAGCAAAGCUAGUGACUAGCGAGUGACUUUUCCUGUUUGCUCGAGUCAUGUGAACCUGACAUCAUGAAUCUUGAUGUGCCACCACCAUCAGACUGAGAAACCAGUUGGAGGAGGCAAGCCAUAUGUGAGAACAAGAAAGGAAGUUCAGCGGCAACUUGGCAAGUCCACACCACGUUUGGCAUCAACGCCGCGGUAAACACAGAGAUACCACAAGGCGUGGGCAAUUAGAUCAGAGCCCUCUGGAUGGCUGUGAAAAUAUCCAAGCACGGUAGAAAUGCUCGAUGAAAAAAUAAAGUUUAAUGCGAGAUUUCCCCUUAGUACCGUGCUUAUUUUAAACAAGCAUGACUGGAAUCUUUAUUGUACAUGGAAAAGAUAUGCAAGCACACAGCACAUUAAGCACAAACCAGAUUAGACAGUUCCAAAUUUCAUAACUAAACAUGGACUUAGAGUGAAAAGUUUAUCAACUUCGCAAACUAACUCCAAUGAUACCAAAACCCCUGACAAAGCAUUGGUGGAACAGGACAAAUUGUAGAGAGGUAGGCGGCGGGCAUAUAGCACUCGUUCCGGUACAGCACAAAAGACUGAAAAGUUCAAACCAAUUUCUAAGGCCUCCUGUGAUGAAGCCUCCUUUAAUUUCUUUAAUUGUAUAAACAUUAGUUCUAAAACAUUUGUGUGCAUUAAUAAAUCAUCAGCCUCAGUGCAUAUUUUCUUGGGCAAACUUUGCUUAGGCUGAACAACCAAUUUUGCAGAAGAAUGAACUUAAAAGCCAAACUUUCUCUACAAGUUUAUUUUAAGCACUCAUCUUCCAUUGACUAUCGAAUGCAAGAACUAACUGUGAAAAUUACAACUUGCUCAUGAUGCACUAUUACCGACAGAAAUUUGUUAAGCAAGCUUAACAAAUGAGCAAUUCUAGGGACACAAGUAGCCCUUAGAAUCCUAAUACGAGUUACUCCAGCAUGCAAAGUAUACACAACAGGGACAGACCAGCCGUCAUCAGGGCAUAUUGAAGCACUAAAUCCUAUUUUUCCACGCAAUAAUCCGGCACGAGCCCUGGACCUGGAUCCGCAAAGCAAGAGCACAGGAAAUUUUGGCGGAAUUGCGCACAUCUGGGACGCGAGAUUGGAUGUGAGGGAUCAUGGGACGGCUUUUUCGCUUACUCGGGGAGGAGGCGGAAGGCGGUUAGGACGUCGCUGGCGACGAGGGCCUUGGCGGCCUUCGGGAGGCCCGCGUACCCGUGGCGCAGGAGCUCGGCCAGCUCGCGGCAAGCCGUCGGGUAGUCCCACGGCCGCGACAGCGCGGCCGCUAUCCCCAUCUCCUUGUACCUCUUCACGAUCCCGUUCUCCUGUCGCCGCUCCACCAGCCGCUGAUGCGGCAUCCGCCGACGCACCGGCAUCGCCGAGAGCUCGGAGCCGUGGCUCGUGGACCCGCCACGGCGCCGAGAGCGCGGUUGGAGGUCGGGCCCGGGCACGCCUGCGGCCUGCCUGUUCUUCCGCCGUAUCGGUUGGAGCCGGGGAGGUCGAGUCUGUUACGUUGUCCCUUUUUCUGCGUAUAAUGGGCCAUUGGAGCAUUGGGCCACACGUAUAACCUGGUUUAAAAUGGGUGGUCUUUUACCUUUGAGUCGGUUGAGGUCAAAACGGGCUGAAAGUCUAGAAAGUUCGGUUUGGGUUGGGUACUUGGGUUCAUGGAGGAGCUGGAACAGUUGGGUUUGGGCCUAAACAGUUUGCUCCGUAUGAGCCCGUGGGUUUAGAAUCGGUUCUCCUCCCAAUCCCCCGCUCGGCCGCUCCGCGCCUCCGCCGCGAUGCCACGACCGCCGCCACGCGCCGUCCCCCGUCUCGAGCUGGCCUACACCUGCUGGCCGCCGCCGCUAGCCUACUUGAUCCGCCGCUGGCCUCCGUAGCAGCAGCCGCCGCCGCAUGCAGCGGCUUCGAUUCCUUCGCCCUUUGGAGCCCAGCCGGGACACGCGCAACCGCCACCACGGCUCGUGCCUCGUCAGCGCCACUCACACCGGAGGCGAUGACGACGAGUACCUGGCCUGGAGCAGCUGCGGUUCCAGCGCCCUCUGCGGCCAAGCCGGGACACGGGCAGGCGCAGCCCACCUGUCCCCACCUAUUGCCAGCGCCUCUGUGCCGUCCAGAGGUCGAGUCGGCCGUCGCGGGACGGAGGUUUUCUUGUUCUUUAAUCAGUCUGGAUCCUCUUGAUUUUGUGUCUGUGUAGUGUACGUGAGUCUCUCUGUUGGAUGACUUGCAUCCUUACUUAGAUCGAUGUGGUCAUGGAGCUGAAGAUGGUUUCGAUGUGGUCAUGUGCUUCAGUGCAAAGUGUUUUCUGAACUGGUCACGCCAAUAUCUCUAUCUCAUUCUUUGUUUUGGAUCCUUACUUAGAUAGAUGUGGCCAAUGAUUAAGCACGCAUAUCAGUUCCACGGCCAGGACGCGUUGACCCGGUUCGAAGGGCAAGUCAACUCUCCGCCCAUGUUAUCCGCUUGUCGUUUCUUCGUAUACGACCAAGGCGAGGUAGCAUUCGAAGGUUCGAACAUGGCCUACUCGUCAAGGAAUCACGUACCGCCGCCGCUCCAUGCAAGUUGGGUAUCGUGUGCUUACUGCUGACGUCGUUAAUCAUGGUGAUGCAGCCAAUGUGGUCAUUUUAUUGCUAGGCUGCAAGCUAAUGCCAAUCUGACAGACAGGGACAACAGAGUUGGCUUUCCUACUUCUUUUUGGAGCCAGAGUUAGCUUUCCUAUUAUAUUAUCAGGCCGCCCAGAGUCAAACAUACUAUAUUUCUGCUCCAUCCGUCCUCUGCGUUGUGCAACAGAGCAAUCUGAAUCAGCGGCGCGAACAAUGGCGGCCACACCAUGGCUCGCGUUUGUCUGCCUCGCCUCCUCCGCCGCCAUCGUGCUCCAAGCUCGCGCCCAGCCUGACAGCAAAGGUAUGCAUGCAUGUUUGCUCGUGCACGAUUGAUUACACUAGCUAGCUAUUUCCAGGUACAUUUUGCUUCAUCAAGUCUCGUAAUUAUACUGCAGGAUUCAUAAGCAUAGACUGCGGUCUCCCCGGGGAGACAGGCUACGUGAACGACACCACCAAGCUCUCCUAUGCCACGGACGCCGGCUUCAUCGACGCUGGCACCAACCACAAUAUCUCGGCUGAGUACAUCACCCCGUCGCUAGUCAGGAGCUGGUACAACGUGCGCAGCUUCCCUUCCCCAGCCGGCACGAGGAACUGCUACACACUCCGGUCCAUCGAGCGCGGGCUUAAGUACCUGAUCCGGGCCAGGUUCAAGUACGGCAACUACGACGGCCUCGACCGGCCCCCCGUGUUCCACCUCUACGUGGGGGUCAACUUCUGGACGGCGGUCAACGUCACGAGGCCCGAUGAGGCGAUGCUCAUGGAGGUCAUUGUCGUGGUGCCCGACGACUACGUGCAGGUCUGCCUCGUCAACACUGGCGCCGGGACGCCGUUCAUCUCCGGGAUCGAUCUGAGGCCGCUCAAGAGGACUCUCUACCCGCAGGCCAUCGCAUCGCAGGGCCUUGUCCUACAUGCCAGGAUAAACUUCGGACCAACCGACGUGUCCGGCAUUGUCAAGUAUGCUUAACAAUUCCCAAUUUCCCCAUGGUGCCCACGCGCCGAUUCAUUGACUAAACUAUAAAUCGGAUGAUUAAUCGGUCAGGUACCCUGAUGAUCCACACGACCGGGUAUGGAUGCCGUGGGCGAACGCGGCAGACUGGGCCGUGAUAUCAACGACGAAGAAGGUGCAGAACAUUGAGCAUGAUCUCUUCGACGUGCCGACGGCGGUGAUGCAGACGGCGAUCAGGUCGCCGAACAUCUGGCAGGGCAUCGAGUUCCUCUGGGACGCAGUGCCCCAGCCCAACGACGCGUCGCCAGGCUACAUCGCCAUCAUGCACUUCUCUGAGCUGCAGCAGCUCCCCAGCGGCGCCGUGCGUGAGUUCUACGUAAACCUCAACGGCAAGUCGUGGUUCUCAAGCGGCUUCAGGCCCGACUACCUCUACACCAGCGCCACAUACAUUAGCAUCCCUUCCCGGCACAGCCGCUACGACGUCACUAUCAACGCCACGGCCAACUCCACGCUGCCGCCGAUCAUCAGCGCAGCCGAGGUGUACUCCGUCAUCCCCACCACCACCCUUGCCACGGACUCCCAGGACGGUAUGUAAUGUUCUCGCUCAGAAUUAUUCCGAAAGGACAAAAAAUCAUCAAACGAAUUUGAUUUUGACCAAAAUCUGAAUUUAGUUUUAAUUAUCUGAGAUGAAAGUAUUCUGGUACUGAUUGUCCUUUAAAAAAAAGUAUUAUGGUACCCAUUUCGUCAAAUUAAACCCUCGUGCAUGCUACUGAAUAUGCUCGUGUCUGUAGUAUAUGCCAUCAUGGCGAUCAAGGCCAAAUAUCAGGUGAAGAAAAAUUGGAUGGGCGACCCGUGUGUUCCAGAGAAUAUGUCCUGGGACAGAUUGACCUGCGGCUACGCCAUUGCCAGCCCUCCAAGGAUCAGUACCAUGUAAGCAGUUCCUAUCUAUCCAGAUAUACUGACUUGUGUUCAUGGCCGAAUUAACGGAGAUUGUAGAAGGUUAUGUAAUUAUCAUGCCAGUGAAACUGAUACACUGGAACUUGAUAUUUAUGCUGCUUUUUGUAGAAACCUGUCCUCAAGUGGCCUGAAUGGUGAUAUAUCCUCUUCUUUCGCUAAUCUCAAGGCUGUCCAAUACUUGUACGUUCCGAGUUCUGCAAAUAUUCCGGCCUCGUUUGUAGCUUUCUGCAACAAAGAGGUUAAGAAAAAAAAAGACCUUGUAUCCUAUCUUGCAGAGAUCUGUCAAAUAAUAACUUGAUAGGCCCAAUUCCAGAUGUCCUUUCUCAAUUACCUUCAUUGGCAGUUCUGUAAGUUGGGCAAGCCUUUGUCAAAUUUGUUGGAGAAUACAAUGCAAACUUCUAGAAUGUUCUCAAUAUUACAAGAAAGAAGACAUUACUAUAGAAUACUCUAGAAUAUAAAAUAAAUAAAAGAGGGAACCUUCUAGUGUUUAGAUAUGCAUGAAGAAUUAUGUACAAGCUUUGGAAUACUCUAAAAUAGGAGUUUAAAAUAAAUAAAUAGGAAAACUUCUAGUACCUAGAUAUUUAUGUAGAAGUGUGUCGAAGGUUUUAGAUAUUUUGUAUCAAUGGCUAAGAUUUUGACACAUGUCAAAGAUCCAAUGGCCAUGUAGUCCUAUAAAUAGAGACCCUUGCCUCACACCUUGUGUAGUAGAGAAUAAGGAAGUGAAGAAGGUGGAGAACAAGGUGUGAGCAAGUGUAAGGUGUGUAUGCUCUCUCUUGUACUAAUAUUCCUAAAGCAAUAUAAUACUACUUUGUUCAUAUAAGUCUCCCGGUUAGGCCUUGUUAUUUCUAAGUACUUAGUGCAUAUAAGUUGUGAUUUAACGUGAGCGGAUUCGCCCGAAAUCACAACGGUCUUGUUUCAACGUGAGUGGCAUAGCCGCCCGGAUUCAAGACUUGCUUUAACGUGAGUGGCUCUGCCGCCCGGAAGCUUGCACUAAGUAAGUAGAAAUAAAAAGGGACUAAUCAACUACACCAAAGUAGUUGGUAUAGGUGAAUAGGCCCUCUCGUAGUGUGUUAGGUCCACCUCGAAUUCUCUACAGUUGGUAUCAGAGCAGGCGGUCCGGGACCGUCAUUUGGAGGAAGAGUUGUAAGCACGGGGUGCUUGCUUUGUUCGGUGCAACAAGAAGGCGCUGAGGGGAGACUCUGCUGGUGCACAGUCUGGGACUGUGAAGCUGGUCCGGGACCAAAGCUUACUUGACGCUGGGCGCAAGUCACCAUGGCGGAUCUUGCUAGCUCAAGCAGCGGGAUCAGGAAGCUUAAUAGCCACAACUAUGGCUAUUGGCAGACCUGCAUGGAGUCCUACCUACAAGGUCAGGACCUAUGGGAGGUCGUUGCGGGCACCGAAGCAUUUCCUCCAGAGAAUGCUGAUGCCUUGCGGAAAUGGAAGAUCAAGUCAGGGAAGGCCAUGUUUGUAUUGAAGACGACCAUCGAAGAGGACCUAUUGGAGCACAUCCGUGAUGAGAAGACACCUAAGGAGGCAUGUGAGACUUUGGCGAAGCUAUUCUCAAGGAAAAAUGAAGCACGGCUCCAGCUCUUGGAAAAUGAGCUCGCAGGUAUCUCACAAGGCAAUCUAUCCAUCAGUCAAUAUUUUUCGAAGGUGAAGUUUAUUUGCCGUGAGAUAUCCCAACUUGCCCCGGAUGAGAAGGUGAGCGAGACUCGGAUGAAGAGAAUCAUCAUCCACGGUCUUAGACCCGAAUACAAUGGGUUUAUGGCUGCGGUGAUGGGAUGGCCUACUCCACCUUCAGUAGUGGAGUUGGAGAAUUUAUUGGUAAAUCAAGAGGAGUUAGCUAAGAAGAUGGGGAGCAUAACCAUAAAGGAAGAAGAGGAGGCACUUUUCGCUAAGAAGAAGAGCCCACACCAAAAACAAUGGAAGCCCAAGCCUAAGUGGACAGAAGGUGGGAAAGAACAUCCAAAGGAGAGAAGCAACUCUUCAGGGAGAGACCAACGAGAAAGACAAGGACCAAAAUGGUACGAGAAGAAUGCAAGGAGACCAAGUGAUGGAUGCUUCAACUGUGGCAAGGCAGGUCACUUUGCUCGAGAAUGCCGAUUUCCAAGGAGGUCAAAUGAUGGAUGCUCCAAUUGUGGUAAGAAAGGUCACCUUACUCGAGAAUGUCGAUAUCCAAGAAGGCGUUAUGAAGGGAAUGUGGCCACCACAAAGGAGAAAGAGGAGAUCACUCUAGAAGCAUCCAUGAGCGAAGAAGAAUGGGACGCCGAAGCUGGAUACUCUCAAGAGGUUGACAUAGAAGACUUGGAGGAAGAUAUGGAGGCACCAGCCUUUGCGAUGGAUGAAGAAGAGUUGGAGGAAGACAUGGAGCCACCAGUCUUUGCAAGGGAUGAAAAAGAGUUGGACGAGGACAUGGAGGCGCCAACCCUUGCAGCAAUCAAGGAUCCAAAAAUCAACUAUAAAGAUGAUUGGAUCGUUGAUUCUGGGUGCUCCAACCAUAUGACUAAUGAUGACAACAAGUUGCAAGAUAUGACCGAGUACAAGGGAGGAAAAAUGGUGCUGACAGCUAACAACUCCAAGCUAUCGAUUUCCCAUGUUGGAAAGAUAGCCGUUCCAAGGUAUGGUCCUCAACAACUCCAACUUGAGAGAGUCUAUCACGUCCCAAGUUUGAAAAAAAAUCUGUUGUCAGUACCUCAACUGACAGCAGAAGGGAAGUAUGUUCUGUUUGGUCCACAAGAAGUAGCAAUCUUCAGAAGGCUCAAGGUGAUCGGCACACCCAUCAUGGAAGGGAAAAAGAGAGACUCACUCUUUGUGCUCUCUGCUGAGUCAGCAUACGUAGACAAGACUCGGAAGAAUGAGACGGCUGAUCUUUGGCAUGCGCGGCUUGGACACGUCAGCUACCACAAGUUGAAGGAGAUGAUGGAGAAGCACGUAGUGAAGGGGCUUCCUGAUCUUGAUAUCCGUACAGACAUGGUCUGUGCUGGAUGUCAGUAUGGCAAGGCCCACCAAUUGCCAUACAAGGAGUCGCAGCAUCAGUCAAAGGUACCUCUAGAGCUCAUACACUCAGAUGUCUUUGGCCCAGUCAAGCAAAUAUCACUUGGAGGCAUGAGAUACAUGGUGACCUUCAUCGACGACUUCUCAAGGUACGUUUGGGUAUAAUUUAUGAAGGAGAAGUCUGAGACCUUUAUGAAAUUUAAGGAAUUUAAGGAUAUGAUAGAAGGUGAACUCGAGUAUAAGAUACGGUGCCUACGCACUGACAAUGGGAGAGAAUAUUUAUCCAAUGAGUUCACCAUCUAUCUCAAGAAAAAUAAGAUAAAAAGGCAGUUAACUUGCCCUAAUACUCCACAACAAAAUGGAGUAGCGGAGCGCAAGAAUCGUCACCUUGCGGAAACUUGUCGGAGUAUGUUGCAUGCCAAAAAUGUUCCUGGAAGACUCUGGGCCGAGUGUAUGAGGACUGCAGCUCAUGUGAUUAAUAGGCUACCACAAGUGAGGUUGGGGUUCAAAUCACCACAUGAGAAGCUUUGGAGGAUGAAACCAGCCAUCAGCCACCUCAAGGUAUUUGGUUGCGUAUGCUAUAUCUUUGUGCCAGAUCACCUAAGAACCAAGUUUGAAAAGAAAGCGAAGAGGUGCAUCUUCGUUGGUUACGAUGAUGCUCGAAAAGGAUGGAGGUGUUGUGAUCCAACCACAGGUAAAUGUCACACCUCAAGGAACAUUGUGUUCGAUGAAGCUUCUUCAUGGUGGUCCCCUAAGAAAGAAGAGAUUCCUGAAUCACCUGACGUGGAGGAGGUUAUAGAAGAAGAAAGAGAUCAGAAGCUAGAAACCCCAAGUGAAGGAGAAAGGAGCUCACCAAGUAAGACCAAGAGUCCGUGGAAGACUGGCAUACACCAACCUGAAGAGCCACAAACCGAGGAGCAUGAUCAAGAACUUCGAAGAUCAACAAGACCCAGGAAGCCCAAUCCAAGAUACGCUAAUGCUGCUCUUGCCGAUGAGUCUUUACCUAUUGAGCCAUCUUCCUAUGAAGAAGCAGUACGAGGCCCUGAGUGGCAGAAGGCGAUGGAAGAAGAGAUUAAGGCACUAAAGGAAAACCAAACAUGGGACUUAGUGCCAAAGCCAAAGGACGUAAAGCCAAUAUCCUGCAAAUGGGUUUACAAAGUGAAAACCCGAACAGAUGGCUCAAUUGAAAGGUAUAAAGCUCGACUUGUGGCACGAGGUUUCUCGUAGGAGUAUGGACUGGAUUAUGAAGAAACAUUCAGUCCGGUGGCAAAAAUCACAACAGUUCGAGUCUUGCUUGCAUUGGCUGCCAGCAAGUCUUGGGAGUUGUGGCAGAUAGAUGUCAAGAAUGCCUUUCUGCAUGGAGAACUUGACAAGGAGAUUUACAUGGAGCAGCCAAAGGGGUUUGAGAGCAAGAAAUACCCCGAGCAUGUCUGCAAACUAAAGAAGGCACUCUACGGGCUAAAGCAAGCACCAAGAGCAUGGUACGGAAAGAUCGGUGAGUUCCUAGUACACAAUGGCUUUAAAGUUGCUCCAUCAGACUCUAGUUUAUUUGUGAUGGCCAAGGAAGGAAGAUUAGCAAUAGUUCUAGUCUAUGUUGAUGACUUGAUCAUCACGGGAGAUUACUCCGAGGAGAUAGAAAGGACAAGGGAAAAUCUCUCCAUGAGAUUUCAAAUGAAGGAACUUGGUGAGUUAAGACACUUCCUUGGACUUGAGGUGGAGCACACUAAGAAUGGGAUAUUCUUAGGCCAACAAAAGUAUGCGAAGGACCUUCUUAAGAGGUAUGGGAUGCUUGACUGCAAACCUAUUUCCACUCCUAUGGAUCCUAACGCAAGACUUCAAGAAGACAAAGGAAAGAACUUGGAGGAUGCAACCAUGUAUCGGCAACUGGUCGGGAGUCUUAUCUAUCUGACACUUAGUCGGCCAGAUAUUUCCUAUGCCGUUGGAGUGGCAAGCCGAUACAUGAGCACACCAAAGAAGCCUCACCUUGAUGCAAUAAGGCGAAUACUCAGGUAUGUCAAAGGCACCUUAAAUUAUGGCAUCCUAUAUAAGAAAACAAAAGAAUGCCAGGUUAUUGGUUACUGCGACGCCGACUAUGCCGGAGAUUGUGAUACACGGAGAUCAACCACUGGAUAUCUCUUCAGUCUUGGAUCGGGAGCCAUAACAUGGUGCAGCAAAAGGCAACCUACAGUGGCACUGUCAAGUACUGAAGCAGAAUAUCGAUCAGCGGCAGCGGCAGCACAAGAAAGCACCUGGCUUAAACAAUUGAUGGAAGACCUUCAUCAAACUCCAAAAGAUCAGGUAUGGAUUUUCUGUGAUAACUUAUCCACUAUAAGGCUAGCAGAAAAUCCUGUCUUCCAUGCAAGGACAAAGCACAUAGAGGUGCACUACCACUACAUCAGAGAAAAGGUCCUUAAGGGGGAAAUUGAGAUGGUGCCAACAAAGACAGAAGACCAGACUGCAGAUAUCCUCACCAAGAGUCUCAACAAAUCAAAGUUCAAGAAGUUUCGAGAAGCUCUUGGCAUGGUCACCAAAGAAGCUUUGCAUUGAGGGGGAGUGUUGGAGAAUACAAUACAAGCUUCUAGAGUGUUCUCAAUAUUACAAGAAAGAAGACAUUACUAUAGAAUACUCUAGAAUAUAAAAUAAAUAAAAGAGGGAACCUUCUAGUGUUUAGAUAUGCAUGAAGAAUUAUGUACAAGCUUUGGAAUACUCUAAAAUAGGAGUUUAAAAUAAAUAAAUAGGAAAACUUCUAGUACCUAGAUAUUUAUGUAGAAGUGUGUCGAAGGUUUUAGAUAUUUUGUAUCAAUGGCUAAGAUUUUGACACAUGUCAAAGAUCCAAUGGCCAUGUAGUCCUAUAAAUAGAGACCCUUGCCUCACACCUUGUGUAGUAGAGAAUAAGGAAGUGAAGAAGGUGGAGAACAAGGUGUGAGCAAGUGUAAGGUGUGUAUGCUCUCUCUUGUACUAAUAUUCCUAAAGCAAUAUAAUACUACUUUGUUCAUAUAAGUCUCCCGGUUAGGCCUUGUUAUUUCUAAGUACUUAGUGCAUAUAAGUUGUGAUUUAACGUGAGCGGAUUCGCCCGAAAUCACAACGGUCUUGUUUCAACGUGAGUGGCAUAGCCGCCCGGAUUCAAGACUUGCUUUAACGUGAGUGGCUCUGCCGCCCGGAAGCUUGCACUAAGUAAGUAGAAAUAAAAAGGGACUAAUCAACUACACCAAAGUAGUUGGUAUAGGUGAAUAGGCCCUCUCGUAGUGUGUUAGGUCCACCUCGAAUUCUCUACAAAAUUUAUCCAUUUUGCUGUGAACUACUUCGAGUCAUGUAAGCAGUAUGUGGUUUUUGUAGAGAUUUGUCAGGCAACCAGCUGAACGGAUCAAUCCCCUCUGGACUACUGAAAAGGAUUCAAGAUGGCUCCCUGAGUCUAAGGUAUAUUUCUAUAUGCUGACUACCAUGAUACUUAAUAAAGUGACCGAAAACUUGAUUCAGUAUCUUCAUCUCAUCUUUUGUUAGAUACGGCAACAAUCCAAACCUCUGUACCAGUAGGAGUUCAUGUCAGCCUGCUACAACUAAGAGGAACGGCAAGCUGGCCAUCUACAUUUCUGUUCCUGUAGCUCUGGUAGUUGCAUUAAUAUUAGCGAUGGUACUACUCUUUUGCUUCCUCAAACGGAGACAGCACGGUGAGGCUUUGGUACGAACACUUUAAGGCCCUGUUUGGACUGUUGUAUAUAUAUUUUCUAAUGGUUGGUAUUUAGUUCAACUUUGGGUGGAGUUGAACUAAAUACAACCCCACGAAAAUACAACAACCCAAACAGGACCCGACUAUAGGAUGUAUUUUUCAUUAACUGAGCACUUCUAAUAUGAUCUGGAGUAUGUCACCUACGAAUUCAGGAUCAAUGAACAACUCCGUAAAGCCGCAGAACGAGACGAGAAGAGAUGCCUAUGGGGACAGCUCGCUGCGACUGGAGAGCCGCUGGUUCACGUACAAGGAGCUCGAGAUUAUGACGAACAACUUCCAGCGAGUGCUUGGUCGGGGAGGGUUUGGAUACGUCUAUGACGACUUCCUGGAUGACGGCACCCGGGUGGCGGUGAAGUUACGGUCUCAUUCUUCCAAUCAAGGUGUCAAGGAGUUCCUUGCUGAGGUAGAACCUUUUUCACUACAAUUGAUGUUUUAAGGUUCAAGAGAUCUCGGAGUGAAGUUUCCUGAGUCAUGGAUAUUUUAUCCAGGCACAGAUUUUGACCCGGAUUCAUCACAAGAAUCUUGUGUCCAUAAUCGGUUACUGCAACGAUGGAGAAUACAUGGCACUUGUCUACGAGUACAUGUCGGAAGGAACCCUGCAAGAGCACAUUGCAGGUAUGCAAGUUUUGUUUAGUUACAGGUGUAACUUUAGAGUUUAGUGUUUUGUCCCCAAAAAACCAGCAGUGCCCUAACCGAUUAGUGCACUAGUAUUGUUAGAAAAUGAACUUUUAUCGUCUCCAUAUAUAGAUGCACACAACCGUUGAUUAUUACAGAGUUUUUACAAAAGACCACGCAAACAUGCCCACGAAGUUGGUCUUUAAGCACAAUUAAACAACAGUAGGAAGCCAUGCAUGACCCAACCGGAAUACAAAUUAUCGCGCAAGGCACUCCAAUUGUUUGGCACCAAUUUCAACCUACUGUAGUAAAGCCCAGGAUUGAGUUGAUACAUGAGUAUAGUACCUGCAUUAGGGAGUCAACUUUCUUUUGUUUCUUCAAAAACAGUAGUAUCAUUUCUGCAGGGCCAAAUGGACCAACAGAUUGCCACAGCACCAACAAAAAUUAGAGACCAAAGAGACUUAUGCACCCCUUGAACCAAGACCAUAAAAUGUGAACUAUCAACCAUGCUAUGUGGCUGAAUAAUGUUAAAUAUCAAAUGUGCAACCUGCCAGCAAGCAAUACGGGCAACUGUAUACAAAAAAAGGCAUGGCACCGUCUCCUGUAACAAAAGCUACACCUAAUGUCCCCCUACCAGUGACAUUUUGCUAAGUUGUCCUUUAUAAGAAUGACACAUCGAAAUAAAUACCAAAGAAAAAUUUAAGUUUCUACGGAUGUUUAGAUCAAAAUCUGAUCUUGACACCCACAGGUUCUUCUUGGAGAAGAGUAACAUCCGCAACUUUAAGGACGAUAACAUGUCAAUCCACCAAAUGUUGACCUGUCAAGGUCCACUUGAAUUCAACAUUCAACGGAACCUUAACUCUAUGUGACAUUGGCAUGUUUAUUAUGGACAAUAUUAAAAAGUCUAGGAUAGGUCCGACAAAAGGGUGCCACCUGUAGCAAUUAUUUUCCAAAAACAAACUGCUUCACCACAAAAGAUACAAGCUAGAGGAUUUUUUUUAUAUAUUUUUCACUAUAACUACAACACUUCACGCUCACAAAAUGUUACAGUUAUUCAUGUCAAGUACCUAUUAUAUUUUCCUAAAUUCAUAAUGCAAUCAAUUUCCAAGAAGCAACCGUGACGGAGGGUGUCUACCUUGGAGACAGAGACUCCGAAUUGCACUUGAAUCUGCUCAAGGUACGGACGUGAAUGCAGAAUCAGAUGCAGUCGGCCUACUCGAUGAGCUUUUGUGUUUUCAGAAACUUGAGCAUUGGCUGGUUAAUUUGAUGAUGCGUAGGACUGGAGUACCUACACAAGGGAUGCAACCCGCUUUUGAUUCACAGGGAUGUGAAGGCCAGCAACAUCCUGCUCAAUGCAAGGCUAGAGGCUAAGAUUGCCGACUUCGGCUUGUCCAAGGCCUUCAACAGCGACAAUAGCACCCACGUGUCCACGAACAGUAUUGUCGGCACACCGGGAUACGUGGAUCCAGAGUACCAAGCAACGAUGCAGCUGACGACCAAGAGCGAUGUGUAUAGCUUUGGUGUUGUGUUACUAGAGUUGGUCACUGGGAAGCCGGCCGUCCUACGGGAACCAGUGCCCACUAGUGUCAUCCAGUGGGCACGACAGUGACUAGCACAGGGCAACAUCGAGGGUGUGGUGGAUGCACGAAUGCUUGAUGGCUAUGACAUCAAUGGAGUGUGGAAGGUCACGGACAUUGCACUCAAGUGCACCACACAUGCAUCGGCACAACGGCCCACCAUUGUCGACAUGGUGGCACAGUUGCAAGAAUGUCUUGAGCUAGAGAAUGGAUGCGCUGCAAGUGACCUUGAAGGAGGCUUCUACAAUGGUAGCAGCAGCGAUGACCCGACCUUGAGUUAUGAUGCUUACGUCGUUGAUCAAUCCACUCACAUGAGCCAUGGCGUCGCUCCAUUUGAGAUGGAGCCUAUUAUUAACAGGGUGCCAACAGUGCCUAGCGGUCCUUCUGUACGCUGAAGGCUUCUAUGUGUCAUUGCCAAUCUGGAAUUAAAGCAACACACUGAAGGCAUCUGCGUCUCAUUGCCAAUCUGGAAUUAGGGCAACCUAAAAAACCUGUGCGCGAAUUUUAAACACGUUGAGUCUACAUAAGUAAGUGCAUAUGUGCUGGUGUUACAUUUUGAAUUGUGCAGAUUAAAAUUUCGAAUCUAGACUAUAUGCCCACUUUAACUUUUUGAAGCAAAGUACCUAUUCAUUCUUCUAGUUUUUGUUCUUAUUAAUGGAAAAGGCAAAUCUUGUAUACUAAGGAGUAAAACAGUGUUAAUCAGUUGCCCAUUUCUAUUGAUCCAAGCCCAUUUCACGAGACUACUCCGUAUCUCGGACUCUCGGUGCACGCGAACAUGGUGAACAUUCAUGCGGUCUUGGUGUCGCUCACGUCGGCAGAGGGUCGCGGGUCGCCGGAGAGGAGUUCGAGCCGAAGGUCGCCGACUCGCCAUGUCCUAUUGAUUAGGCUUUUAUAAUUUUGAGUACUGGGUACAUAAGAAUCUUAUGAUAGUAUUUGAAUAAGAACCUAGAAAACUGAAGCUAAAACAUUGUUAUUCCUAACUCGUCUCAUCGUCUGAUAACGCACAUCACACUGCGACACCAGAAGGAGCCGAGGAGAAUUACAUCAAGAAUAUUGUUUCCAGUGUGCAAAUUGCAGCAACGCACGUAUAAUGGCUGGCAUCUUAUCCUCCUACCACGCCUAGUUGAAACUCAUUCUCCAUCCAUCUGUUCCUCAGACUGAAUAACACACCAUCGGUCGAUUGAUCUAUCUGACAAAAAUGUCCGCCGUCUCAUAUCGAGUCCAGCUUGUUCUGCUGCAGGAACUCCAGAUCCUUGAGCUGCCGCUGCACCACCUCCUUGGACACGACCUUGGCGGACACCAACCUCUCGCCAUCCGCCACUUGCUUCGCCAUGGCGGAUACCAUCCUCUCCACCGCCGGCCUCCCCACCGACGGGAACACCGCGUUCAGCAUCGUGCACAGGAGCUUCUCGUCCUCCGGUUCCACCAUGUCCUGCCCGAAGCAGCACACGUAGAUGGCCUCCAGGGCCUUCUCCGCCCGCACCUCCAUGGGUAUCUGCGGCGCUUGCCCCUUCGAUUUCGCUCGUUUCUGCAUACAUCACAGUUUGUUUAUGGAGCUUGUUCAGGGACAAAUUGCCGGAUACUUCCCGAUGUGGCACUGAAUAUUGCGAGAGCUGGUAUCGUGGAUGCGUACCUCCCUUGCGAUCUUCAUCAUGUCGAGGAAGGUCUCCUCCUCGUACUCGAUGUCGCUGGACAUGCGGAGACGCGCCACGCCUUCCAGGAUCUCCUCUGUUUUCAGCAGCCCGGCGCCGACGGCGGCCAGCCAGCAGCAGAGCAGAACGUAGAAAGGAUCUCCUACCUGCGCACGGACAAUUCACAGUAGUAAAUAAAAACAACGAUGGCAACAUCCUCCUCCGAUGCUGAAUCUGGUAAUGGCGACGCACCUUGCCGCGGCGGUCGUUGAAGUCGUAGAAGGCCUGGGAGUCCAUGACGGUGCACUUCUUGCUGACGCGGCGGCGGAACUCGGCGAAGUCCACGGUGUCGCCGCCGACGCCGCCGUCGUCGGUCAGGAUGCGCGCCACGAGGCCCACCACGGGGAGGGCCCCCACGAUGCGGCCCAGGAUGGCCGCCGGCGAGUUCGGGUCCGGCUCCAUGUACGCCACCACCGCGCCAUGGCGCCGGCGACGGGGGUGCUGGGCGGAUGAAGAGGAGGAGCGGCAGGGCCGACGGUGGCGCGGGAGGAAGGCGGAGGUGAGCGAGAGCUUGUGGGCGACGGCUAGUGUCCCCAUGCCCAUCGAUGGGGUUUUCCUUGGACGCCUGCGUCUGCGUGUGGUGGGAGUGGCGCGCGCCUUAUCUGCUGAAAACUCGCUCGCUUUUGGCGAGUUUUACAUUCAGAACGUGUAGUGUACUCCUAUCUGCUGAAUUCUUCAUGGUUUGUCCAACUUUUUUUAACCUAAAAUCGGUACUUUUGGGGAGAGAACCUUUGAGAUUCAGAUUUUAUGAAGGAAAAAUCUGCACAUCAAACGGUGGUACACUCAAGGGUGGAGGCAGAAAAAAAAACAUAGGUAGGGCCACAAUAGAGGAGAUGCUUUAUUUGGGGGGACGAAGCAUAAAAACUGAAUCUUAUAGGACAAAAUUGCAAAGGUUAUGAAGGGGUUAACUACAAAUUCCAAAUCUUAGGGGCGGCCAGGGCCCGUGCUGGCCUGGGUGCUACCUCCGCCCCUGGUUACACUUGUAUUAGCGUGCGUCGUCGUUUUUGUCUUUGACAAAACAAGACAACGUGUUAUUUAUUGCCAAGGUCAAAAAGACAACAAACGAGAUACAUGUCACCAAUCAAGAGUGAGGGAAAGAAGUGAGAGAGAGCAUACAAAAAUUAAGGUGCAUCAUCAAAGUCAGAAACAAAUUCGUUGAGGCCAACAUUCAUAGCAGAACGAUCGGACUGACUAAGUGCGCGUGAGAAAAUAUGUAGUAGGAAAUGAAAGAGGUUGACCCAUGGACGUCGUAGAAGAACUCGUUAGCAAUUGCCACCGCCAGGGCUCAACAAUGUCUCACAGAUAACACUAGUGUCCUAGGUUAAGAGAGAUGUCUAAAGAAGACACGAUCGUUAUAUCUCAGGUGAGUACGUCAGCGGGGAAAGGAGAGAGAAAGCGGAGCAAUGCGACAAUGGAGCGGAAGAAAGGAUGAAAACGGGUUAGUGAUGUGAAGAGAGUGAAACAAGAGUCCUAGUGGAGUGAAGAAGGGGCACUGAGGAUACCGAGAACUAAGAAAAAUUAAAAAGUCAGUUAGUGUGAUUUUCAAAACUUUCAAUUGCAGACUUAUAAACUUUCAGCACACGUUGGCGAAUGUGUUUUAGGAUGGUUUUUCACAUAAAAAAAUGAGGCCCACGUGAACCAACCGAAUAAAGAAAGAAGAAAGAACAGGAUAACACAGCCCGGCCCAGCUAGCCCAGCGAAAUAGGGACUCGGCUUUUCCUCGCGGUGGACGCGGGCGCCACUGACUCGAUCGCCUGCCGCUAUUCUACCGUGUACCACACCUCGCACGCACACACGGACACUGACAUAUAUAGGCCUGCCAUCCUGCCUCGUGAUCAUGAAUGCCUGAAGGCUGAAGCCAGGCGACGGAAUUUUCUUAGUCGGCGUCCGCUGCAGGUAGCCGCAGGCUGGCACGACGACCACAGCUUGCGCUCCAAAAUCCCAAAAGACGAUGCGAGUGUGUCAAUGGUGAGCACGGGAAGACAGUGCGCGUGCGACACAAACUCGAUCGUUCUCGAUCAUCCGCCGCAGCAGGGCGAAGGCCGGCUCGACCACAGCUCACGCUCCAAAUUCCAAAGACGCGAGGAGGAGGGUAAGCAACAAUCAACAGUGAGCGCGGGAGAAGACAGUGCGUGUGCGACUUUGAUGCAGCCGAAAGCUCACACGCUCCUCAGUCAGCUGAUGCAACAUGCAACCAUCCAAAGCUAAGGCGUACUACACUACGGAUUAUUAAUACCGUCGUGUGUGCAAGGUGUACGGUAAAUCCUGUUCUUUUUGCAUCAAAAAUGGCAGCGAAGCAAUGUCGAAGCACUUGUAGUGUGUCAGCCGGCCGUGUGGCCUUGCCAGCCAAGCCAGCCUUGCGUGUUCAGGUUCCCGGAAAAAAGAGAUGGAGGAAUUAGGAAACCGCCCUCCCAACCGCUGGCCGCGAUAGCGCAAAAGCGAGGAAGAAGAGAAAAAAAAGAAAAGAAGACUGAGAAGAAAUAAAGAAAGAAAAAAGCGGCCUGCGCCGAGGAAGGAAAGGGAAGGUACUCCUCCUGGGGCAGCACUAGAAAACAAAACCAUCGCGGCCGGCAACGUGUCGCGCAACAUGCAGCACCCGCCCCGGCGCGCCUCCACGUACCACCCCCCGCACUCCCACGUACCCCCCUGCUCCCCGCCAAAACCACCCCACGCCUAUAACCCGAUACGGCGCCAGCCAUCCCCUGCACCCGGCCCCAACGGCGCCAGCCAUCUCUUCUCUGCCGCAGUGCCGCGCUCCCCACCUAUAAAGCCCGGACUCUCGCCCUCUAUCCCAACCCAAAUCAUCGCGGUUAAUCGAUUAGUUCUUCUCAGCCAUGGUGAGCCACGAGCAGCUCCUGCAGCUCGACCCAACCGCGCUAGCCUUCUCCUGGGCCGCCGAACCAGCCCCGUCUGUAUCCGAGAUCCCGCCGCAGCUCCUCGUCGCGCUGGGAGAGUACCUCUCCUCGGGCGCCGCCGCCGGGCACAACGAGGGGGACGCCGGCGCCGUUGCCGACGCCGCCGACGCCGAGGCGGACGAGGAGUUCAUGAUGUACGAGUUCAAGGUGCGGCGGUGCGCGCGCGCGCGGAGCCACGACUGGACGGCGUGCCCCUACGCGCACCCGGGGGAGGCCGCGCGGCGCCGGGACCCGCGCCGCGUGGCGUACGCGGGCGAGCCAUGCCCGGACUUCCGCCGCCGCCCUGGCGCCGCGUGCCCGAGGGGGAACUCGUGCCCGCUCGCGCACGGCACGUUCGAGCUCUGGCUCCACCCGUCCCGCUACCGCACCCGCCCGUGCCGCGCCGGCACGGCGUGCCGGCGCCGCGUCUGCUUCUUCGCGCACACGCCCGCCGAGCUCCGUGCCGCCGCGGGGCACAAGGCGGGGGGAGAUAUCUCGCCCCUGGCCGCGCUCUCGCCCAAAUCCACGCUGACGUCUCUCUGGGAGUCUCCACCCGUGUCGCCCGUGGAAGGGGGCCGGGGAUGGUGGGUGGAUGCAGCCGCCGGAGACGAAGGGGAUGCAGACGCCGAGGUGGAGGAACUCAUGCUCGCAAUGCGGGAGCUCAACUUCAGACAGGCGGCGGCGAAGGCGGCGUCCAGGACGCAGGUGCUGCCGCCGGUGACGGAGGACGACGGGCCGGACUUCGGCUGGGUGUCGGAGCUGGUGAUGUGAAGAGAUCCAAGCCAUGCAUGAGCAUCAUCCAAGGCGAGACUAGCUGCUCGUGUGCCCCUCAAGACAGCUUAAUUGGAGUACUCAAUUAUUCUAGCAUUUCCCCAAAUUGCAUCAUUCUUUGUGAAUAAACAAAAUGUAUAUGAUGCAAGCUGCUGAAUACAGCAAUUUGUAAGUUUGUAAGCGUGGCGUGGCGUGGCGUGCGUGCCCCUCCCCCCUUUUUUUUCCGAAACCAGCAACGGUUUUGGAUUACAUAAGCAAGUGUAGAAACAAGCGUGUAAUAUCUAGUAGCCUCCCCGGGGCCCUGUUUCGUGAUCUAUAUAUCAUAUGAUGUGCUUAAUUAUUAUGCUCAAAUGCGGCGUUUCUGUAUUGACAUGCACUGAAUCAUCUUGUAUGGAUGUUGGAUUGAUCAGUGCUAGAACAAAAUGGAAGAAGGCAGAUACAUGCAUCCUGCAAAGAUAGAAAGAGUGUCCUCUCGCUCUGCUCCCGCUUAUACUUAAAUCAUCUUGUAAUGGAUGUUGGAUUGAUCGAUGCUAGAACAAAAUGGAAGAGCCAGAUACAUGCAUGCUGCAAAGAUAGAAAGAGAGUGUUCCUCUCGCUCUGCUCCCGCUUAUGGACAAGGACGUGUCGAUGUGACGAUGUCACCAUCGGUGUGAGGCAUCGAAAAGGGUACGAGAAACAUCCCCCCUGAACAGUUCGCGGUUGAGUAAAGGCGAAAGGGCAGUCUGAGAUGAGCUAGCUCCACGAAGUCGCCGAUCUCCCAAGUUUGUCCUGCCCCUCUAGGUAGGCAAUCCGCAAUCCGCAAGUAGUACACCGUAUCAGUUUCAGCUCGCAGUUUCGACGCGUCCCAAUCUCCCGGCUAAGAUCGGUGACCACGGAGUCACGGACCAAGCGAUCGGAGUAUCCUAUCCGAUCAGCGCGGCCGGACGGACAGCCGCCGAGCCCCCGAAAACGAAACGCCGCGGGUUUACGGGGAAAACAGCGGGCGGGCGCGCGCUUUGACUCCGGGGUCGGGGGCAACAACAACUUUGCCGCGCCCAGAGCCCCAGAGUCCAAGAGGGUGGCAGGGUGCUGCCGUGCUGUGCUGGGCUGCUGGCACGCGCCCAAGUAGCCAAUUCUUUCUCACAUUUCUCGCCCACGCGACGCGACCACGGUUUCGGCGCAAACAAAGCCGACGGUAUUUACACUCCGCGGCGCGCAUAUCCCACUUGUACCACUCUAAAUCUGAAGUUAUGAUAUUAUUAGUACAAGCGUAUGUGCAAAAGAACAAAACUUUACUUUGUUACCUAAAAGAAAAGGUACUGUGGUUGUGAUUUUCUUGUCGUCCUGUCAGGAUUUCGGUUGCUUUGGUCUAGGACGAGAACUACCGAUGUGGACGGCACGAGCCGGGCCUGAAGUUUCUGAAAAGAUGGAUCAUAGAUUCGUAGCCGGGGGCUACCGCACGGUGUAAAUCAGUAAUCUGUUGGAUUCAUCAUUAUUGGCUUGGAGAAAUAUCUCCCCAACUCCCCAAGUGCACGAAUCCAUGGGAACCCACGGAUCACGGUGGUUGUGUGUCCAUCCGUAUAGUUCGUACCGCUUUCCAGAUGACCAAUGUAAAUAUGUAAUUACGGGAUCCUCCUGCAAAUUGGUAUACAACAUCAGUCAGCUUGCUGGGACGAUUCCUGACAUCACUGCUGUUGUGAUGAAAGUUGAAAACAGAGGUUUGUACUCUCUGAUGAAGUCGAAGUGAAAAACUUCUAAGAGUACGCUAGGCUGCUAUCACAUUGACAUAGGAAGGCUCUAUAAUACGUCAACACAUACGCAUGCUUGAGGGCGUGUUUUUUUUUCCAUCACUAUCGUGAGAUAACGGAACUGUAGUUCACCCACACGGCCACACACGUCGUUUAGUUUUUACACACUUGCCACACUUGCCGCGCACCGCGUACAAGAACGCACCCAAUGCCUAAACUAGAGGUUCAGAAAAGCUGCAAACAGUAAAGGGACUACAGGCGACCACUUGCUGUCGCAACCAAGCUCACAGAGCCAAAAGAUCGUAAUCAGCAUAAGUAAAACCAGCAGGGGGGUGUCUAACCCAAUUCUCUUGGUUCCCUCAACUCUCAUCAAGCUUCAUCCUUGGGCCGGUAUGGGCCAAUUGUUUUUUGCGAUACGCCGAUACCCAUGUAAGCCUGCUCGAGAGAUCGCAGGCAGUUCUGAAUUCUGAUCGAUCCAAGCAUUCGCCCGUGCCGCCGUGCUCCUCCGCCCUCCUUCCUUGCGCCACCGCCUGCCUCCCUCUGCCCUGCGACUUUUCCCUUCUCCCUCCUCCCCUUGCGCAACGCUCUGCCCCUCGGUUCGUCGUCGUCAGGCGGUGCCGCCACGGGAUCGGAUGUGUCCAUAGCGGAAGGACAGAAGGACAGGGAGGGAGGAGGAGCAGCGAAGGUGGGGGUACCGGUCCUCCCUCUCCUCACCGUCGACACCCCUCACGCCGUCCCCGCCGCAGGCCGCGACGGCUGGCCAUGGAGGAGGGUACGCGGCCCUCAAUGGUGCCCCGUUCUUUUUCUUCGAUCUGCAGCUCAAGCGUAUCAAAGUUCAACUUUCGGGUACAAGGAACUCCACUUAAAGACCAACAUAAAUUGAAAAGCGACAUAUUCGAAUUUCUUUUUUCUUUUUUGCGUGUCGAAUUCAACAUACUAAUCCGGUAGACUUAGAAAAUACGGAGCACUCCAUAUUUUACUUAAGACGACUUAGAAGUAGCAGCCCCUAUCUACUAGUAGUAGACUAAUGGGGAAGUGGCCACCUUAAGCUCGAACUCCUCUCCGACGACCAGCGACAGCCCGCGGACGUGCGCGACGCCGAGCCCUCCUCUGUUCAGGUACCGCGUGGGGUUCCCAUUCACCACUGUUCCGUUGACAUAGACGGCGAGCUUCUCUUGCGGCGCCAGCGACGGGAGCCCCAUGAGCACCACCUUGCCGAUGACCAGCGUCCGGCUCGGUGCGUACGAGUUGUGCACCACACGCGACCUCACUCUUAUCACGCCGUUGCUCCCCGUCGAGCAGCUGAACUUUAUGAGGCUGAAUUCGCUUCCCCUCUCGCCCAUCUCCGGCGACUCGCCAUCGUCCAGGAACAGGUCCCCGUUGGCCGUGCCGUCAUCCGCGAGCGCGACCAGGAGGUGGAACACGCUCCGACGCGCGCACGCUGUUGUCAGCAAGCUCUGCUGCAGCGGCAGGAUGUUCCCGCCGGCCACGUGCACGUUCACCGUGUCCGAGGGCGCCGGGAGCAUCACACGCCUCCCGGGCCCCAUGGCGGCGACGGCGAGGGAAUAAUCGUAGAGGCUGAACCACCGGCCAGCAGGGAAGUAGGCGUCGACGGCGGUCGCUCCCGGCUCGAGCACCGGCGAGACGAGCACGCCGCGGCCGAGCAGGAACUGCUUGUCAAUGUCGUAGGUCUCGAUGUCGUGUGGGUAGGAGAAUAAGAGCGGGCGGGCAAUGGGCGCCCCAGACGUAUGCGCCUCGUACAUGAGGGUGUAGAUGUAGGGGAGCAGCCUGUACCGCAGCCCGAGCGCCUUUCUCGCCGACCGCGCCAAUGACUCCCGGAGGUAGAGCUCCCGCGGGACUUUACUGAUCGCAGAGUGUUGCCUGGAGAAUGGGUACAGAGCACCGAGCUGAAUCCACCGGCUGCAGAGCUCCUCCGUAGGUUCGCCGCCGAAGCCGCAGAUAUCGGCGCCGACCAUGGGGACCCCGAAGAGGCCGAAGCUGAGCAUGGUGUUGAUGGAGUAGCGGAGGUCGUCCCACGUCGCGAGGUUGUCACCGGUCCAGUGCGCGGCGUACCGGCCGGACCCGACGAACGUGGAGCGGCUGAGCACGAAGGGCCGGCGGCCUGUGUCAGCGAUCAAGGCGCGGUGAGUGGCGCGAGACUGGAGGAGGCCGAAGAGGUUGUGCGCGUCGUACUCGGACACGCCGCCGUGGUGCAUCGCGGAUGCUGGCACCGUCUUGUUGUUGAUGGGACGGCGCUCGCCGUUGUUGUUGAUGCGGUAGGGCGGGUCGUCCAGAGCGUUGAGCGGCGUCGGAGUGAUGAAGUUGGAGAUCUCGUUCAUGUCUAGCCACAGCCCGUCGAUCGGGACGGUUCGCCGGAAGAGGGCGAUCUCAUGCGCCCAGAACUCGGCGGCGCGUGGGUUCAUGAAGUCCAGGAAAUACGCCUCGCCAGGCCACACCUUGCCAAGGUACUCCCUGCCGUUACGCUUCAGGAAGAUGUCAUGCUGCAUCCCGCGGAUGAACGUUCCAUAUGUCGUGUUGACACUAAUCCCUGAAAGCAUGUACAGGUAGAGAUCCAUCACCCCAUUAAACGCCGUUAAUUUGUACCAGUCCAUUCUCAUUUGUACAGGUAGAGAUCCAUCAUCGAUAAACCGGACUAGUAUGGAACUAUAGAUGAUCGAUCGGUCAAGUACCGGGCUCUAGGAUGAGGACGUAUUUGAGGCCGUUCCGGUGAAGCCGGUCGACGAAAGGCCGGAGUCGGCUGGCCGGGAAGUUGACCGGAUCCAAUGUGAAGUCUUUGAACUUGUCCAUGUAAUCGAUGUCUGUCCACAUCACCUCCAGUGGGAUCCUGGCCUUGGCAUAGCCGUCGACCACACCCUCCAAGUCAGCCACGUUCUUGUACCCAAACCGACACUGGUGGAACCCUGCAAUGUAAGUACGUACGCCAUGUUCGUUUGUACGUCAAUGGAAGCAAGGGCAUAAUCAUGAUUCGCGAAAUUAAUUAAAGGAAACAUGUAUGGCAAAGAAAAGAAGGCAAUUGUGUACCGAAUGACCAGUAGGGCAUGGGGACAGGGCGGCCAAUGAGCUGGGUGUAUUGGUCGACGACGUCCAGCGGGGAAGGCCCGGCGAAGAAGUAGUAAUCGAGUACACCGCCGAUGAUUUUGUAGGUGAUGUAUGACCCGCCGUACAGGACGUCCAUGCCGUUGCUGUUGAGGAGGAGCACGCCGUGCGUCGCAUCCACGCCGGAUCCGGCACCAAGCGGCGGCAACCUCACGUCCAUGUAAAACGGGUGCGAGCCGUAGAGGUUCACGUUGGCGUUCCCCGCCUGGAUGUCCGAGUUCCAGAGAGUGAAAGUUUCGUUGUGCAGCAGCCGAAACGUGCGCUUCGUGUGCUCCCCCAACCCGUACAGGGAUGCCCGCCCUUCUGGCAGCGCCGACGUCAGCUCUAAGUACCUGCAUCAGGGACAUAACCAGGAUUCAGACAUGGGGGCGGGGCUCUCUGCGACCGCCAAGGCUCUCCGCAGUUGGGGCCAAAGAGCCAAAGUCGUAUGGCCCUUCUCUUCCAGGUGGCGAAUGAGGUGAUUUUGCGCCUUGAUCUGGCAGGUGAUUCUCGAACCCUCUCAGUCGAGGAGAGGAACUUACGGGCCUUUCUGAAAGGCAAAUCUCUGGCCUUGGCUUCUCUGGAACGCACGAGACUCAGACAGCGUGCCCGGGUCCGCGAUCUCAGAGAAGGGGACGCAAAUUCGAAAUAUUUCCAUAUGAAGGCCAACGCUCGACGACGCAAACACCUCAUCCCUCUGCUGCGGCUGGAUGAUCGUGUUGCCUCCGCUGCUGAAGAUAAAUUGACUCUGGCCCAGGAUUACUUCUCCAAGAUUUUUGGCUACGUUGCUCCUCGCCGCCGCAGGCUCAACCUCGACGGCUUGGAUCUCGGCUCCCUCUCUGCAGCUGAGGCCAGAGACCUGGAAGCUCCCUUUUCUCGGGAUGAAGUGCGGAAAGUUAUUUUGGAUAUGUCAUCAGAUCGUGCCCCCGGCCCCGACGGCUUCUCUGGUCUUUUCUUAAGGUAUGUUGGGAUGUGAUUGCGGAUGACAUGCUGGCUGCUCUGAAUUUGCUUCACAACGGCGGCUUUCGCAACUUCAAGCACCUGAACACGUCCAUCCUAACCCUCCUCCCGAAAAAGGAAAACCCCUUGGACAUCCAGGAGUUUAGGCCGAUCAGCUUGAUACAUGGCUUCUCCAAGAUUUUUGCCAAGAUCCUCGCUACUAGACUUGCUAUCAAGCUCCCGUCGUUGAUCUCCAGUGCUCAAAGUGCUUUUGUGCAGUCUAGAAGCAUUCAUGACAACUUCAAGCUGGUGUCAAGUGUUGCUAAAUCUCUCCGCCAGAAGAACAAGGCUGCUGUUCUCAUGAAGAUCGAUAUCUCCAAAGCAUUUGACACCCUCUCUUGGGAAUUCUCAUUGAGAUGCUGCACCGCAGAGGCUUUGGUGCCCGCUGGAGAUCUUGGUUCUGUGGCCUUCUUGCUUCAGCCCAAAUGACGAUCAUGAUCAAUGGAAGGAAAGGAGAUCCCAUUCAGCUGGCUCGUGGUGUUCGUCAAGGUGAUCCCCUAUCGCCAGUGCUUUUUAUCCUGGCCAUAGACUCGCUCCAUGCUAUCCUCCAUUGGGCCGCUCGUCGUGGCCUCCUCGCUGAUCUGGGUCUCCAUAGUGGUAUCCCGAGGGCUUCCAUUUAUGCAGACGAUGCGGUGAUUUUCUUCCGGCCAGCCCUGUCGGACAUGACGGUCAUCUUGGCGAAUCUUCUGGCCUCAGGAUUAACCUUAAAAAGUGCUCCAUCACAUGUAUCAGAUGUGACGAGGAAACUUCUCAAGCGGUUGCCGAUCACUUUCAGUGCAUCUGGAAAGAUUUCCCGAUCACAUACUUGGGCCUCCCUCUCUCUAUUGGACGCUUGCGCAAAGCUGAUAUUUGGCCUCUUGUGGAUAAAUUCUCCAACAAGCUAAUGGGCUGGAAGCCGAAGCUUCUUUCCACCGGUGGCGGGCUCACCCUCACCUGAUCGGUGCUCAUGGCCCUCCUGCUCCAUCUGCUCUCUGUCCUCCAACUUCCCCAAUGGGCGUUGGCGAUCAUUAACCGCAGAUGUCGAGCCUUCAUCUGGCGGGGGGAAGACGAGAUCAACGGCGGCCACUGUCUUUUGCCUUGGUCUAAAGUUUGUCGCCCUCUCGAGGUCGGCGGCUUGGGCAUUCUGAACCUGCAGUUCUUCGGGACGGCUCUUCGAUGUAGAUGGCCUUGGCUCAGGUGGGUGCCACAGCCACGGCCGUGGUCCCUCACCCAAAUCGGCGACAAUCAAGAUGCCAUCUCUCUCUGCAAUGCAGCCAUGUUCAUCAAACUGGGAGAUGGAUCCCGUGCUAAAUUUUGGUCUGACAACUGGCUCCCAGGUGGGCGGGCUGUGCAGGAUUGGGCUCCUUCCUUGUUCUCCUUCGUACGAGACUCUAGCAUGUCUGUUGCCGUGGCCUUUCCCACCAACAGAUCGGUCCGUGAUAUAAGAGGCGGCCUCUCCACUCAAGCCUUGGCAGAUUAUCUCAAACUCUGGGAUCUGGUGUUCGGGAUCGCCCUCAUUGCACACCAACCUGAUCAAGCUUGCUGGCGAUUCUCAUCCUCCGGCACCUUCUCGGUCAGUUCAUCUUAUAACAUGUUCUUCAUGACUAAUACUCGCUUUGCUUGUGCCAAACCUAUUUGGCGGUCUAAGGCUCCGAUGAAAUGCAAAUGUGGCUCGUGGUGCAUAAACGUUGCCUGACCGCUGAUAAUUUAGCGUGCCGGGGAUGGCCCUGUGACCUUCGCUGCCCUCUCUGCUCGUUCGAGAACGAGGACUGCACCCACUUGUUCGUGCAUUGCCGCUUCACCCAGCAGCUCUGGUUUCGUAUCUGCCUUUGGUCUGGUGCGAAUUUCCCUACUCCCGGCAACUCCUAUUUGUGCACUGAAGAUUGGUGGUUGUCGGUCAGGAAACAUGCGCCCAAGCAGCUUCGCAAAGACUUUGAUACCUUCACCAUUUUAGUGCAUUAGAGAAUUUGAAAAGAGCGUAAUUCAAGAAUUUUUCAGCAAGAGGCACAUGCUGUGAGCCGCAUCUUUGAUCUGACUGUGGAUGAUCAUGGAGAGCAGCUGGAUGUAUUAUGGAUCUGUAAAUUGCCCCCCUUCUUUUCAUGUACUCUGUCAAUAGACGCUUAUUGACAGUAGUGUUGCCGUCACUUUUUAAGUUCAGGCUUCCUGUAAUGUCCUAGUGCUGCUCGCAGUGAUCUGUAGUCUCCCUGUAUGUUGUUUUUCUUCAGGUCUGUGGUUCCUGAAGUCUGUUUUCUUCUUUCAGGCUUUGCCUGUAACUUGUACUUCCUCCUUUCUUCUCUUAAUAAAGUUCGGCCACAGGCCCUUCGAUUGAUUACAUUUGAUCUUUAAACUCUUAGAUGUGUACUUCCUGUGUUACUAAAUAUUAGAAGUCAUAACUCGUAAGUCAAACUUUUAAAACUUUGACCUGCUCGUAGAAAAAUCUACCCAAACCAAUAUGCAUAUACCAAGGGGGGGUUCUUGCCCCCCGGGCGUCCCCCUUAAGUCCGUCCCUGACCAACAUACAUGUACACAUGCACACGUGCACGGGGAGGGUGCUCUUGUCCCCCUGCGCGUCCCCCUUAAAUAUGUCUCUGAGCAACAUGCAUAUACAAAUGUGCGGGAAAGAAAGACUUACCGGUCCUUGAAGAUGAGGUUCGAGGAAGUGUCGAACAGCACGUCGCCGGUGGAGCGGCGGGAAACCAUGAAGCGAAACGGGGAGGCGUAGAUGGUGAAGUCGAUGUCAGAACCCGCGGUAGAGAGGACGCGACGGCUAGUACGCGGCAAGGCGGACCUCCCCCGGAGCUGGAGAAGGACGUCCUCCGGUGUAGGGCGAGGGAUGACGUCUUGGGGCACCUCCCAUCGGGGAUGAUUGGCAUCCGUGAUGCGGACGUGAAGCCAGCUGUCCGUCUCGAGGCUGUGCCGCCAACAUGACAAUUUGAAUGGUCAGGCGAAAAGCAAGAUUCUAUUAGUACCGGCAUAAUACACACACAUUGCUAUGAACUUAAAAAAAAAAUACAUGUUUAAAUAUGAUGGUGUAUUAUUAUCUAUUAUUUUGGAUUAAUAUAAUCCAUAUUCGUUCUGGUACCAAUAAUCUGUGCCAAAUUAACAAGUAACGGGAACAGCACUAAAUAAUCAAGUGAAUUAACGAAAAUGACGGACGGUUAUCACCAACUAAGUCUUGUAUUUAUCUUUUAUAGAAGUAAUGCUGAGCGUAAAGAUUGUUGGCGGCAUACAAAAUUUUGGAGCGGAAGAUUCUGGGUCGAAAUCCUAACUUGAUCGAUCAGGCGCUCAGGGUUUUUGUUUUUCGUUAGUUCUGUACCGUUACUCUUCUGAUCUUCUGGAUCAAAAGUUUAUCUGGUAUACGCACUCCUAGUCAGUCCUUUAGUUUUUUAGAUAAACAGGAUCACUCCCCGGGCACAUCUUCUUUAUGAAAGAUGAAACCAACAUGUAGCCUCACGAGAUCCAACAGGUUUAGGCCUGAAACCAAAACUAAAGACAGUGCAGAAGCUAAAAGCCAUGAACAAAAAGAAGACUACUGAAGCUGAACUCAUUUUCUUGCUGACAAAAGAGGUCAACAGCUCACGAAAUCGUUGAAGCAGCACCAAUCCCGACCAAACAAAUCGUCGUUGUAGCUCGAUGAAAUUAAACAUCUAAACCGUAGGAUCAAGCUAAACGCUCUUUAAUGAAGCCCCAUGCGCGAAGCGUCGUACUACUUGCCUGGCAGUGAGGAGGAGACUCCGGACGUCGGGCCCGAGCGACGACGGUGCCGCCGUCCCGCCGGCGAGCUCCAGCCGCGCCGACAGCAGCGUCCCCGACCGCGUGACCGACGCCACUUCGUACCCCGCCGCGCCCCAAGGCACGGCGACAAGCCGGAAGAAAAGGAGGAGGAGGCCGAGGUAACUAGCGUUCGCCAUUCAGAGCACGCGCGCGAGCUGGUGGUGUGCAGCAGAACGGGUCCCCUGUGAUUGAGCUCUCUCGCGUACUCCUUUUUUUUUUCUUUUUUCUGAGCGGUCUAUAGAAGUAUAGAUAUGUACUACUCCUACUGUCCUACAUGGCGAUCGAUUGGGAAAGGAGGGCCCCGUGUGCGCCCACCGGCGAGCGCAGCGGUUUGUCGGUGCUGCCGUGCCGUGAUGGCCUCUGCCGGAGAAAAAUCUUCGUUUUUCCCUUAAAAAAAAUCUUCGUUUUUUCAGGGAGGGAAUCGAUCAGGAAGGAUACGGCAGAAAGUGAAUACUGAAAACGACACUGCCUGUUGAUCCGUUCGUUCACGUCUGACCUUUCUCAUCAAAGACGAUAUGCGACGUACGUGAGUUCGUUUUUCGUGGACUUAACUAAAAGCUGGAGCCUGGCCGGCAUGUAAAUAUUCUGCCGGGGCCGCCCUUAAGUUUUUGAUUAUUCUUUCUCUAGAUAUUUUGUCACUCAUGUUUUCAUCUGAUUGGCAAACGACCCUUUUUUUCCAUGAAAAAACAAACUGGAGCCAGCAUGAUUCAGAUUGAAAAGAAACGGAAACGGCGUUCUAUUGCAAGAUAUCAAAUUGAAAGUUGGCUACAGCAGUUUCAAUGGCAUCAUGAUAUAUACUACCCUUCCCGUUCUUAAAUAUAAGAAGUUAUAUCUUUGUACUAAGUCAAAUUUCUUUAAAUUUGGUCCAAAUUUAUAGAGUGUUUUUUUAACUAAGAUCUACAUUAUCAAAUAAGUAUAAUAUGAAAAUAUAUAUAAUAACAGAUUUCAUUGAAAUAAUUCGAGUUAGGACAAAGUAUGGCUUCUUAUAUUUAGGAACAGAAGUAGUAUAUGUUGCUGCAGUUUGAUCCUUGUGGGGAUCAUCCCCUUUUCCCGAAAAAUUCCCACCCCGAAACUUUCUCCUCUCCCCGUGACUACCCUAGAUCAGCGCCACCUCCUCCCUCGCUGCCGCCGGACAAAGCCGUCGCGGUGGAGGCGGCGGGGCCCUGUCUUGCGGCUUCGUUCGGUGGUGCUCGGCGAGGCGACCAGGAUCUCCAUGGCGGCGGUGCUUCCCUGGUCGCGACGGUCCUCGGGCCGCGGCGCGUCGGCGGUGGCGGACCCCCCUGGCCGCGGGUCAUCCUGGCUAGUCUGCCUGGCUGGCUUGGCUAGGGGCUGGUCAUUGGUCUAUAUUGCUUAAGACCGGUCUGCCCUGGUCGCUGGCCUUGGCGGCUGCACGCGGUCCCCGGUCGGUUGGCGGCGGCGUCCCUUGCGUUGGCGGGCAAGUGCAGCGGCCGGACUGGCUUUGGUGCGGGUGCGGCCGCCAGUGGGCUUUCCUCAUCCUCUACAAUUCUGGUAGUCGGUGUCCUUUGUCGGCUAAGCGGAUUUGGUGGUGCGGGUUUGUACUGGGGGAAACCCUUGGUAAGUUGGUUUGACGUCCAUGAUGUCUCGUCCCAUCUUUCGGGCGUUGUCGAGGUACUUUCACACCACCCCCCAUUUUAGGUUCCCAAGUGAAAACUCAAAGUCCUUGGACUAGACGGUGGCGGCGCUAAAGGUGUGUGGGGGUCUUGGUUGGUGGAUGGCUGCUGGAAGCAUGCUCGUCGGUGGUUCUGGCUUUCCUCGUCGUUGCCAAGUUUGACAAGUUCAAUGCUUUGAUCAUCUUCCCGAAGAUGAGAUAGUGGAAGACGUUGGCGGCAGAUUCUAGAGUGUGUCCAUACUCCACAUGCUGAGAGGUUGUUUGACAGGUUGUUCCUUCGUGUGUCUUCCGGAUUUGAUUGUUGGGCGGUGGUGUGCGGUCAGGGCAUGCUUCCCCAAUAAUGGCUACCUCCUUCAUCAGGCUUGUAGGUAUGGAUUUGUGGUUUUGGCUUGAUUGAUCGAUGUAUUUUUCUUGUUAGGCUUAUUAAAUAAAUCAACAAAAUUGGUUGUGUGCAUCAUUUUGAUGCAGAGGCCGGAGAUUUCAACCUCCUUUAAAAAAAAAGUUUGAUCCUUGUCAAAAUCUGAAUAUGUCAUAUAUUCUCAAUCUUAACCCCGUGCCGAGUACGACAAUUUUCUGUUUUUUAGCUAUUCAUCACUAUCACCAAGUAAAAUGAGUUCAGCUCAUCAUUUUUAGCCUUACAAGAAAGUGAGAAACCAUUCUGAUGUGGCUAGCUCCUUGGUAAAUCAUGGUCGGAAAUGCAGGCGUCCCGUUUUCCUCUCGCGGUUUGGAGGCAGUUACUCUUACAGGAUGUUUAAUUACCCGGGAAAAAAAACUUGUAAAUAUUUACUUUCAAUUCGCUCCCUUGGAAAAAAAAUACAUGAACAUUUGCAUUUCAUGUGUGUAUAGUAACUUUGAAAUGCUCGAGAAAAUUAUAUAAGCAUUACAUUUUCUUAGGGAAAAUAUAAGCCUUUCAUAUAUUUUAUACCACAUGGACAACAUAAUCUUUCUUCAAUCUUCACACAACAUCUCUUCCCAAAACUAUGCUCCGCCUCAAAGAUGGUGCUGCUCCUCUAGCUCAAGGCACUCUUGCAGCUGCAUCACCACAUCAGUCAUUGUUGGGCGUUGCGUAGGAGCUUGCACGGUGCACUUGAGCGCGACAUCCGCGGCCUUCCACACGCCGUUGACAUCAUAUUCACCUUGCAUGCGCACGUCCACCACGUCUUCAAUGUUGCCACGUGCAAGCCGUUGCCGCGCCCACUGGAUGAUGUUGGUCGGAUCUGGACAUUGCAGGAUGGGCGUCUGCCCCGUGAUCACCUCCAAUAGUACGAUGCCGAAGCUAUACACGUCGCUCUUCACCGUCAAUUGCAGAGCUGCCGCAUACCUGCAAGUUUAUGUACAUCAUUACUCUUUAGUAACUGAGUUACGGUCAGCAGCAAGUCAACCAGAAGAGAAGAUGGUAGCAAGGUAGCAGCUUGUUUACUCAGGGGCAAGGUAGCCGUGCGUGCCAACCAGCCUCGCCGUGGAUACGUGCGUAUCACCGUCCUGACUGAAAGCCUUGAGCAAGCCAAAAUCGGCAACUUUGGCCUCGAGAUUCGCAUUCAGCAGGAUGUUGGAUGUCUUCACGUCCCGGUGCACGAAAGCAGGGCUGCACGCUUUGUGCAGAUACUCAAGCCCUGCACGCACAUCACACCGUCGUCGACAAUGAUCACAUUUGACAAAACAUUUUAUGGAAUCAGCAAAGAAGUACAGUACAUAUUCUAGAUGGGAAGAACACGUACCUUUCGCGGAUUCCAGUGCAAUACGGAGCCUCUGUCUCCAGGUUAAAGACCCAGCGUUGUGAUCUUUCCCUGCACAAGAUCGUCAUCGGGUGACAUCAGUAUUGUCGAACUAUACUUGAGGAUUCCAAAUGCUCGUACAAAUGAGGCACCUCUAAGUUUGUCUUCGAGGUUUCCUUCGGACAUGUGCUCGUAGACAAGCGCCAUGCACUCCCCGUCCUUGCAGUAACCAACCAUGGACACUAGAUUCUUGUGGUGAAUCUUCGUCAAGGUCUGAGCCUGAGCAAGAAAUUAAAGGGAACAGAAAUCACAUGCUUGUCCCCCCAAACAGCCCGGUGACUAGUACGGAGUAGGAGUACACUUGAUCAGAUUCAGACGUUACCUCCGUCAGGAACUCUCUGACGCCUUGGCUGGAGGACUGGGACCGCAGCUUGACUGCCACCUGGGUGCCAUCCGGCAAGAAGCCGUCGUAGACGGAGCCGAAGCCUCCCCGGCCGAGCACCCGCUGGAAGUUGCUCGUCAUGGCCUCCAGCUCCCUGUACGUGAACCGGCGGUUCUCCAGCUGCAGCAGGCUGUGCUGCCCGUCGCCGUUCUGUGACGCGCUCGCUUCGUUCUGUGGCUUCACGCUGCCCUUCCCUGAUCCUGAUCACACGUCAAGACGACAUUAUUAUUGACAUCGUUACCUUCUAGCAUCGCUAUAUACACAUAAGUAGAACAAUUGAUGUUUUUUUUUUGCAGGGAAACAAUUGAUGUGUUGAUGCCUAAGUCUAACCUUGCCUUUUCCUUGCUAUGAGAAGCAGUGCUGCUAGUGCUCCUGCCACCACAACGGCAACAAUUGGAACAGCAAUGUAGACGGCAAGCAUAGAGCUGCUCUUCUUUUUGGUGGGCUGGCAAGAGGUACCGUUGUUGCAAAGGUUUGAAUUUUUGCCGUAUCUACCAAAAAUAAGGAAAUGUUAGUACUCAUUUUUGGCUACACAAGUGUGUAACAGAUCUAUGAUGGAUUAACCUGAGAGUUAGGGAGCCAUCUUGGAUUCUUUUCAUAAGCCCGGAGGGAAUGGAUCCAUUAAGCUGGUUACCUGUCAAAUCUCUGAAGGGAGCAAAUAUUUGACACGUCAAGAGUAGUAGCCUAAAGUCUGUUUUGAUCAUGUGAAUUUUCAAUUUGGUAAGCUCUUGGAAAGCAAAUAAAUUGUGAAAAUUGUAAGAGAAUAGUCAGAUUAAUGUUACUAGAUACUGAUCGAAGACAAUAUGGAUAAGAAUUGCUUACAGCAUCACGAGAAAGGGCAGUUCUGACAGGACAUUAGGAAUUGAUCCUGUUAAAUUGUUGUACGACAAAUCCCUGAAAUAACAGACAGGCAUACAAAAGGUGUGAGCUUAAUUUACUUGCACACUUCAUCCUUUAACUGGGUUAAAUUAGAAACGGCCUACUUACAAAUACUUGAUUACUUUUAGGUUGCCGAAGUAAGACGACAUAUCGCCGCUCAGACCACCCAAUGACAUAUUUCUGCAGAAACACACGCAAUGGUUAGAGUUCAGACAGACAGAGUGAUCGAUCCCCUUUCCUCAGUGUUUAAGCUCAGAUGAACCUACAGUCUUGUGAUUCUCGGAGGCAUGGAAAUGGCAUAGCUGCAGUUCAACCCAUCCCACGCAAGAGCCUUGGGAGAGCACGGGUCACCCGCCCAGUUCGUCUUCUUCACCUGAUACUUAGCCUUGAUCGCAGCAAUGGCCGCAACUGUUUUUAUUGUCGUUUUCAUUUCAAUAAUAAUUAAUCAAAGACAGAUAGAUCAAGAACUAUCACAUUAUCAGACCGGUGCAAUCUAUAGCGAGAGAAUAAUCAGCAAGAACAAAUUAGCAUCACGCACCAUCCUUGGCGUCCGUGGCGACGUCGGCAAUGGAGACGACAGAGAAGAACUCGGCGGCGUUGAUGGUGGGCGGCAGAGUGGACUUGGCCGUGGCAUUGAGCGUGAAAUUGAACCGGGUGAAGCCCCGGUGCGGCUCGCCGUUGAAGAACCCGUCCGACGCGAGGUGCCGCGGCGUGUACGGCGCCUUGCUCCAGAGCGUGCCGUUGAUGGCCAUGUCGAACUGCCGCAGCGCGCCGCCGGACACCGCCUGGAGCUCCGCGAAGUAGAAGAUGCUGACGCACCCGGGCACCCCCGGGUAGACGCGGCUCGGCACGACGUCCCACCAGAGCUCGAUGGUGCCGGGCGAUGCCGACCCGUUCCGUGCCGCGAUGGCGGUCUGCAUCACGGCCUGCGGCGCCUGGAACCGCGGGUCAGCCAGGUCCUGGAUCUUCUCCGUCGUCGCGAUCUCCGACCACUUAUCCGGGUCGCUCCACGGGAUCCAGACACGGUCAUACGGGUCAUCCGGGUACCUGAUCAGGGACGACAAGCCAUUGACGCCGAAGUUGUUCCGGUCGACGAGGACGAGCGCCUGCGUGGCGUUUGCCUGCGGGUAGAGCGUGUCCCUGAGGGGCCUGAGGUCGAGCCCGGAGAUGAAGGGCGUGCCGGAGCCGGUGUCGACGAGGCAGACCUGGACGGACUCGUCGGGCACAAUGGCCACGACCUCGGCGAUCUGCGCGGCGCCGGGGCUCGUGAUGUUGACCGUCUGCCAGAAGUUGACCCCGAGGUGGAGGUCGAAGACGGGGGGUUUGUUGAGCCCGUCGUAGUUGCCGUAGAUGAAGGUGGCCCGGAGAAGGUACUUGGAGCCCCGGGCCACGGUGGAGGGAAGCGUGUAGCAGCUCCGGGGUGAGCUCGGGAAGCUGCGCACGUUGAGGUAGCGCCUGGAUAAGGACGGAGUUAUGUACUCGGCGGAGAUGUUGUGGUUGGCGCCGGCGUCCGUGAAGGCGCCGUCCGGGACGUAUGGCAGCUUCGUGGCCGCGUCCAAGUAGCCGCCUUGCUCCGGCGGCAGGCCGCAGUCGAUGCUGACGAACCCUGCACGUACGUUACGUACGCUCGAUUGAUCAAUGCACAUUUCAUUACGGAUGGUUAGAUUUGAAUAUUUGACGGCAGGUUAAUUAAUUAAGCCCACGUACCGGUGCUAUCGGGGGAGCGCUGGCCGGGGACUUUAAGCACGCCGGCGAGGCCGAGCAGGAGGAUUAACCACGGCCGGGACGCCAUUGCUCCUCGCGCUGAUAGCUUCAUUUUGCUGCGUGCGCGCGCACAUGCAUGCCACCACUAAUGAAUAGGUUUGCUAUUUCUCAGAAGAGACGACUCUCUAAACUAAUUCUUUGACUCGGUAAACUCGUAGCUCAACGGAAACAAAUGAUUGGCCACGUCAGCACGCACAUCGAUCCAGUGGCCAGCUUCAGCUUGGCCUGUGGGUGUGUGGUCUGCCUGCGAUACCGCCAUGACGGUAGAGACGAGCAGAACACAUGUAUAUGGAGUUAUGGACUGAGCUGAGCAGCUUUGCACACUUGACCGAGAGUUUGUCAACGGCGCCCUCGCUGGCGGCACGGUGCUCCUACAACUCUAUAAUUUUCCAUGCAACUACGAGCUGUUAGCCUGGUGGCCAUGGACUUUUGACUUUUGCGGCGCCUCUGCACUUAAUUCUCGUAUACGUGACAGCUUUGUAAUUGUCACCUGUAUUUUCUAUCAAAGCCUUAGAAAUAAAAACUCCCCUAUAAUAAUUAAAAACAGCACUUGAGUUUCUUAAUUAGACCAUACAAAACAGAGAAAUGCACUCCCACCGUUUCUAAAUCCUUGUCAUGGUUACAGUUCAAAUUAAUUUGUACUAAAAGACGGCAAGGACUUAGGAGCGGAAGGGAUUAUAUUUUUCACCAUUUAAUUGUCACGGAAGUCUAAUUUUGAUAACUCACUACUAGGACUAGAAAAACUUAGUACUCCAAUUAUCAAUACCCUAGAGUUUUUAUCUCUUGCUCCAGCGCGUGUGAGCGGUUUGACUAUUGACAUGGAAAAAUAUUAACCGUUGACCAAGGUCAUGCCAUUUGUCCAGUCAUCUCAAGACUAUUAAAACCCUGCAAAAUAGGAAAUGUGAUCAAUAAAGAGGCUUUUGUUCAAUAUGAUCUAAUUUGAGUACCAUAGUGCACACGUAAAUAUUUUUUGGGAAAAUGAGGGAGCACCCCAGCCUCUACAUUGAAUUGAUACACACAACCUCAUAUUAUUAAUGUCUCGAACAUCAUUCAUCGUAUCACAAAUGUAAAUUCAUAAUACAAAAGGAUGGAAAGCAUUACAUUUUGCCAAGCCAAUUGUUGACACCUCACCCAGGCUGAAUGAGGAAAUCUUGCGCGACGAUCUACAAUUGGCUCCACCCAGACUCCAAAGUGUCCCUGACAACCGCCUGAUAUAAUAGGGAUCAAGAACAGUUUCAGUGUGACACCAUAUCAAUCACCAAUGUGUAAGCCAGUGACCGAACACAUUGGUGAUACUAAGCAGAGGAGGGAGAUUUAAAGUCAGAAAACAACCCGCCAAAGCAAGCGCGCCAUAGGGCAAUCAAAGAACAAAUGCUGGAUGGUUUCACUUUGAUCGCAAAAAACACAUUUUUGCAGUCAUUCCAACUACACUUAGCCAGGGUAUCUUUGUGAGCAUCACAUCUUGACAGAUGUACCGGGCAAAACAAAAAUAUUUUGAGACCGAGAGGCUAACAAGAGGAUCUUUAAGUUUCCAAAUGCCUUUAUGGGGCCAACGUGACAAUUCGAAUUGAUUAAGGCUUUGUACAUAGACUUCAUUGUGUUGUCGGUUUUUGACAGAACUCCACAAAACAAACCAUCUAGGCCAGGAGUGAGUGAGAGAGGGAAAGGGUUUUCUAAGUCUUAGAGUGACUAGCUAGGCAGGUAGUUUCCUCUCCUGUCACUGACAGUUUCCAUUUUAUUUGUGUAAAUCUGGGUGGCUUUGGAGACUUAAUAUGUUCUGAUGAUCAAGCAAUGUUAGGGAUGCAGAGGCAGCAGCUAUGACGGCACCGGAAGUCAUAGGCGUCCGCCUGUAUGACGUGUAAAGGCCCACGUGGCGCAGCUAUAUAUUUGCCAUCCACGUGGUCGCGGAGACGGAUUUUGUGGCUCAGUUCGGUCCAAACUGCAAUUCGAUCGAUCAUUGCCUUUCGGUAAUUUGCGUGGUCGUUUUAUAUAGAGCACACAGCUAAACAAGGGAUCGAUUCGCCCCAAAUUAAUCUGCGCGUCGAUCGAUCCCCUUCAAAGUUCAAACACGAUCGAUCGAUCAUAUCCAUGGAGGAGCCGGCCGCCGGGCCCGGGAAACGCGUCCGACGAGAAAUCCCAUCACGCACGCCGCCGGCGAUCGAGUGGACGCUCCCGGCCGACCUUAUGCUGGACAUAAUCGCCCGCUCCGACCUCCCAACUCUCAUCCGCUGCGCCGCCACCUGCAAGCUCCUCCGCCGCGACAUCCUCCGCGACCCCUCCUUCCUCCUCCCCGCAGACGGAAACGGCAUCGUGCCGCCCUGCUUCCUCGCCUGCCUCCACUCCCACAACGACGUCGCCGACCCGCCGCCGCCCCUCCCCUGGCCCACCCGGACCCCAAUAUAAUCCCCCCCGCCGCCGCAGCCGCCGCGGCCUUCUCCGCCGUCGGCCAUCUGUCCCCCUUCAUGUCGCGCAACGCGGACGACCUCCUGGCCGAGUACUGCCCCCUGACGUCCGGCGGCGGGCUCGUGCUCCUCUGCCGCCGCCACCCGUCACCCGCCCGCUCCUCCCUCUGCGUCUACGACCCCUUCACCGGCCACCGCGUCUUCCUCCGGGCCCCGCCGGGCGCCCAUGAAGGCCACCUCCGCAGCCGCAGGAGCCUCCUGCUGCUCACCGCCGCGGAGGACGGGAUCGGCUUCCCCUUCCUGCUCAUCUUCUUCCACGACCCGGGCAUCAAGUUCUCCGGCAAAAAAAACAGCAGCAGCAGCAACGGCAACACGCGCGUCAUCCAAGUCCACGUCGCCGCCGCGCCGUGCGGUGCCUUGGGGGAAGAACCCGUCGCGAUACUCCGUGACGAUGCCUUCUCGCAGCUCUGGCCCGAGACCCGGCCGUACCCCGUCGUCCUCCCCGGCGGCGUCAUCCACUGGCUGCUGCCGCACGGCCGCGAGAUCCUCACCUACGACGUCCUCGCGGCGAACCCCGGCAGCAGGGUGAAGCUCCCCGCGGCCCUCGUCAAAGCAGAUAAUCAAGGGCUCCUCCAGCUCCACCUGGCGUCCUACACCUCGCCGGACGACGGGCGGAAGCUGCUGAAGCUGCUCGUGGCCGACGGGCUCAAGAUCUCCGUGUGGCGGCAGCUCUCUGGCGGCGGCGGUUGGGAGCUGGAGGAGGGCGUGAUCGACGCGGAGGAGAAGCUGCGGGAGCUGGACCCCGACUUCGUUCCCGGCCAGCGUCCUCUGGUUGGCUUCGCGUGCUUCGGGGAGAGCAGCAGUGGCAUGGUGUUGCCGAUGAUGCUCAAGGGUGUGUUUGCUUCCAGGUCGUCGCACCGUGUUCCGCACAUCCUUGUUGAUUUGGAGACCAGGGAGAUGACGUGGAAGCCACGGGACUCUUCGACCGACUCCUCGGCGCUGCUAAUAAUGGAGGUCGACUUGCCGUCUCGGCUACGAGCCAUGAAAGUUUUUUCCUAGCUAGUUCGCUAACUUUAUUAAUUAAACUUCCUGUACCGUCGUUGCAUUGCACUGCUAACUAUUUGUAUAGGGCCGGAGUGUUUUACACCUAAUAGUUGAUCGGUUGCACACAUUUUAUGUAUGGACGAGACUAGUGAGUGGCCGUUGGCUGGUUAAACCCAACAAGUCAACGCCCCGUAUAUGGCAAGUUCUCAAUGAUUGUCAAUAAAAUCAGAAACCCCCGUCCCGCUGUCUGCGUGUGUCUCUCUCAAUUUUGAUCACGGUGCGUCAGGUUGUCCUAGAAUCGUGUCCUGCAUGCAUGUAGGUCCCCCUCUCGCUCGCUUUCUCUUUCUCUCCACACGUGAACUACCGCAUGAUUCCCAUCCAUAGAUAUGACACAUGUGUAAUAAAUUCGAAUUCAAACAUUCAAAAAGCCAUGACUUUCAAUUUGUGCGUCGGAAUUAUGUUCCGUUUCACCGUCGACUCUCUCGUGACGAGACCUUCAAAACUAGAUCCAAGUUGAGUAUGCUUUGAUUAAUAUUUUCUAUAAAGCAACUUCUCUGUUAAACAAUGCAAAUUUCUCGUUUUUUUUUGCAACUUUGCUGUAGCAGUCGACAACUUUGUCCGCAGUGCUACACUGGAACAAAAGCUGCAACUUUUCUUCUAAGUUGGUAACUUUGUAUUCUAUUCUGGCAACUUUGCCUCCGCUGCUAAAAUUGAUCAAACGCUAGCAACUUUGUCUUUUGUUCUGGCAACUUGUUUGUUGCUAGAGUUGAAAAAACGAUGGCAACUUUGGCUCCCGUAUAAGUGGCGAUUUUUGCUCGCUCUAGCAACUUUCACUUGAGCGCAUACAAGUUUGAUUUGUUCAAUAGCAACUAGCGUUAGUGUGUCAAAAUUUUUUUCUUUCGUGCCGGCAACCUUUUGUUAUCUUCCGACAACUUUCUCUUCUGUACUCGCAAUUUUGGCGCCUGUAGUGACAACAUUGGUUCUUAUACUUGCAACUUUGGCUUUGUCUUUUGUGCUCGCAACUUUUCUUCUAAGUUAAAAACUUUGUCUUAUGUUCUCGCAACUUUUCUUUUAAGUUGGCAACUU
rnacentral:lncRNA from 1 species